CUUUAUGGAGAAAUGCUCUCUAAAGGAAUUAAGCCAGAUGUUGUUAUAUAUAACACCUUGUUUGUUGUCCUUUUUGAAAUACACCAGGUUGAGCGUGCUUUCAAGCUGUUUGAUGAGAUGCAACGUGAUGGCGUGGCAGCUGAUACCUGGACAUAUAGAACCUUUAUUGAUGGGCUCUGCAAGAAUAGUUAUAUCGUAGAGGCAGUUGAACUAUUUCGCACUUUGAGAAUUCUCAAGUGUGAACUUGAUAUUCGAGCCUACAACUGCCUCAUUGAUGGAUUAUGUAAAUCCGGCAGACUCGAAAUUGCAUGGGAACUAUUUUGUAGUUUGCCUCGUGGAGUCCUAAUAGCAGAUGUUGUAACCUAUAACAUCAUGAUCCAUGGGCUUUGUAACGAUGGGAAAAUGGACAAGGCGCAUGAUUUGUUUCUUGAUAUGGAAGCAAAAGGUGUAGCACCCGAUUGUGUCACAUUUAAUACGCUGAUGCUAGGUUGCAUCCGCAAUAAUGAGACAUCAAAAGUUGUUGAACUCCUUCACAGAAUGGAUGAGAGAAAUGUAAUACCAGAUGCAUCUACACUUUCAAUUGUUGUGGACUUGCUUGUAAAGAAUGAAAUUAGCUUAAACUCCAUUCCACAAUUCAAGAGUCAAAGGUAAGUGAGUUUAAUAAUGAUUUAGUCGCAUGUUUCUUCUGCCUGAAAACUCAAUGUGGAGGAUCCUAUUCUUAUUACAACAUGUAAAGGAGUGUUGUCUAAUGUUGGCAUGUUCCUAGGUUCUGUCCAUGGAUUCUGUUUGCAGACAUGGCUAACUUCUUGUUCAACAGAUAAGUUUUAAAGUCUUUCAACUUUAUGUUGUAAAAUAACUUUCUUAUUAUUCAAUUCAUGAGUUUUCCUUCUGUAACACAUACUUCUCAUUAGAUGGAAGUGCAAAUUUUUUAGGCUUUUCCCGUAUGGCCUCUUUUUCUGCUCUAAAUAAAAUGGCAUUUUAUUUCCCUCCUGUGAGGGUACAAGGUUUAUGUAUAAACUUUCUGUUAGUUAAAUUGGUUGUCUUUGAUAUAGGGAACUUCCAGUUGAGCUGAUUUGUAAUUCGAGUAUAUGAGAUUACCAACUGUAUUGGGAAUUAAUGCCAAAUUAAUUAUGUCAUCAGGUUUUUCAAUCAUUGUUCAUCAUUUAUUUCUGUUAACAAUUAAUAGCACAGCUUGUCUUCUCAGCUUCAUUGGUUCCUCUAAAAAAUAAUCUUGUAAAGACAAUUUUUUUUUUUUGGCAUGGUAAAUGCUAGAUUGUUUGUGGUAAAUACAAAAUUGAUACAAUCAACUUGUAUGAUAAGUUUUAAAAGUUUAUUCAUAUUUAUAUUACAUAAUUAAAAGUUCAUUCAUAUUUAUAUGAGAUAUCUAUUUUAGGACACAGUUUAAUAAUCAUGGAAACUAACCAUUUAAUAACAAUUAUGGUCGUUUAACCUAUCUAAACAUGAAAUUGUCAGCUGGCUUAUCUUUGAGUAGGAGGAUAAUGUAAGAAAAUUAAUAUUUUAAUGUACAAUUUGUAUGCCAAGCGAAAAAUUUCACAAUUUAAAUUAGAAAAAAUAAAAUUUAAUAGUUAAAUAUUAUUUGAGCCAAUUGACUAGUGGGACAUUAUUUGUUACUGUCCAAAAAGCAUAACAUUAUUUUGAUAAAUGGUUACUGCAAGAAUAAGGAAAUAGAGGAAGCGUUAAGCCUUUAUAGCGAAAUGCUCUCUAAAGGAAUAAAGCCAACAGUUGUUACAUAUAACACCUUGUUUCUUGGUCUUUUUGAAAUACACCAAGUUGAGCGUGCUUUAAAACUGUUUGAUGAGAUGCAGCGCAAUGGUGUGGUUGCUGAUACCUCUACGUAUAAUACCUUUACUGACGGGCUCUGCAAGAAUGGUUAUAUCGUAGAGGCAGUUGAACUAUUUCGUACUUUGAGAAUUCUAAAGUAUGAACUGUGGUGUCCAAUUUCAUCACAUUUGGUACGCUUAUCCAUGGUUUUAUCCGAAUCAAUGAGCCAUCAGAAGUUAUUCAACUUCUUCACAUGAUGAAGGAGAAAAAAGUAAUGCCAGAUGCGUCUACAGUUUCAAUCGUUGUCGACUUACUUGUAAAGAAUGAAAUUAGUCUGAACUCACUUCCGUCAUUUCCUGUCCAAGAGCGACAGGGGGAAGUUGAUGAGUCAAAUGUCAAGUUGUAGCAGCAUGUCCUGUCCAUUGCUUCAAUCCUAAAUGCUUUGAUCUACCUGAAAAGUAUACAAAUAUCGGAGUUAAAACAGAGCAGAUUAAAUCGUAUUGAUGAACUCAACUGAGAUAAAUGACAAAAGAAAACUAACUUUUCCUGUUCAAAGCUCGCACACCUUCCUUUAAGAGCUGACUUUCCAAGAAGAGAUCACCACAAUCGUUCACAUCAACAGUCCACUUGAAAUUUUUUAUAACCACAAUAGUCAUUCCAUUCAAACCACAUCCUUGAGAUCAGUUCCUUCUUCAAGCAAGUGGGAUGGUCUUCCUCUUGAGGAGACUCAGCAGCAACCAAUCAAAGCACAAUAAAGGUAACAUCCAGAAUAAUGAUCCAAAUUUUUGUGGACUUACAUGCAAAGAAUGAAAUUGGUUUAAACUCGAUUCCACAAUUCAAGAGUUAAUGAGUUUAUCUUGAUUCAGUAGCGUGUCUCUUCUGCUUUAAAACCAGAUCUGGGGAAUCCCAUUCUUAUUACAACAUGUGAAGGAGUGUUUGUGUAUUGUUGGCAUGUUCCCAGGUUCUGUUCACGGAUUCUGUUUGCAGACAUGGCUAACUCCUCGUUUCAUCAGAUAAGUUUCAAAGUCUGGCAACUUUUUGUUGUAAAAAUAACUAUUUCAUUAUUCAAUUCAUGAGUUUUCCUUCUAUGGUGCAUCUUUCUCAUUAGCUGUAGUUUCAAAAUUUUUAGGCUCUUCCUGCAUGACCUCUUUUUCUUCUCUAAAUAGAUAAAAUUUGUUUUUCAUUUUUCUCUUGCGAGGGUACAGGUUCAUGUUGAAACUUUCUGUUAGUUAAAUUGAUUGUCUUUGAUAUUCGAACUUCUAGCUGAACUAGUUUGCACUUCGAAUAUAUGAGAUUACCAACUGUAACGGGAAUUGGUGCCAAAUUGAUUAUGUUAUCAGGUUUCCCAGUCUGUGUUCAUCUUGUCUUCUCUGCUUCUUUGGCUCCUGUCAAAUAUAAACUUGUAAAGACAUUUUGUUUUGGCAUGGCACAUGCUAGAUUUUGUUUUUGGUUUGAAUGAUAUUAGACAUCUAAGUAAUUGUCCAAAUUUUUUCGUUCCUAGUGACAAGGCAUUCAAUUGAAAUGGUGACUCAUGAAUCAUGAUUGUGUAUGUUGGUAUUUGUUAUACUACGCGUUAGACAAACUUUGUUGAAACUGACAUACUUUUCUCUAUGGAGAUUGAAGACAACAUAAUAAGAUAAAAUUUAUCCAAAACAUAUAUACUUGAAAGGGCUGGAACGUCUGUUAUUAGUCCUCGCCUUCCAUUCUUGUUUCGUAUUCUUCUGCUAACAAAUCUUGAUCAUGAUAGUCUUCUCUUUCUAUACAACCCACAUAUAAAGUCUUGGCCAUAAGCCUCGAGGCCUAUUCUCUUUUGCAGUGGUGAGUUCACUCUCAGGAAUCGGAUCCUUCAAAUUCGAGCGAAUUUGAAGAAACUGCAAAAGCCUACAAAGCAAAUGGUGUAGAGAACCUUUUACUUAUCACGGGCACAGGAUUACUGACUUUCUGCAUUUUACAGUUGGCUAUGGUUUGAUGCAUUAUUUAUUGUUCUCAAAUUAUAUUCUCGUUGGAAGUUCAAUCAUUACUGUUUCUUUUUUCCCCCUCUUUUUACUUGAAGUUACCUGAAGUUCCAUGCAUGCUCCAAUCGAACAAGUAACGUAGGUGCUGACCAACUCAAAAUAAGUAGUCAGUUGCCUAGUGGUUGCUUUGCAUGAAAUUUGUUUUUGGUAUGAAUAAUGUUGUCUUAAUUUUACAAGCUUCCAUGCAACUCCUAAUUUGUUGGAAGCAUUAACUCAACCCGUCAUUUAAGGUUAGAUUUAACCAUUGACUUAUGUUGACUAUUAAAAGUACUAUAAUAUUUUUAUAUUUUAUAAAUAUAACGAAACCUCACUUUAUUAACAAAUAUAAUUUAAAAUAUAAAAAAUCAAUAAUAAAAAAUAACUAAAGUUGAAAUCCAAGGAGCAACUUCUAUCCUCUAACCAAGUUAUUAAAUAUUAGAAUAGAUAGAGGCAUAUACUUUUCUUCAUGAUUCAGAAUCAUAUCUCAAAGUCAAAUAAAAUUCUCAAUGAUUGCAGGCCUCAAUACCAUUAAGAUGAACUAGACCAUCAUGAAUUUUUGUGCAUCUUGCAAGGUCCAAUUUCUCCAAGUUUAUGAUCAAGCCAAAAAAUGUCAUAAUUCCUUUUAUAGUAAUUUCAUAGUGUUUACUAAACAAUAAUAGAAAUGGACUGAAAGACAAAUAGGGAAUGCAAAUUAGAAUAGGGAUGGCAAUGGGGAGGGGGGAGGGGACCAACAUCCCUGUACCCAUUCCUGAUGUUUUGUAUAUAUCCUUAUCCCCUUCCCGUCCCCAUCAGAAUUGCUUAAGGGGAUUCUCGUCCCCUCUCUAAAUAAUAACAAGGAAUCCCCAAGGGUCCCCGAUCCCCAAAUAACUGAUAUAUUUGUUUAGUUUUCAAACUUAAUUUAAUCAUAUUAACCUAAAAAUAUAUAAAAUAAAAUGAAAAUGAUCAUGAAUGGGCCUUAUAUUUCAUUCUACUCUUUCAAACUUUUGAUAUAUAUAAUAUUCAAAUAAUGAUUUUCAAAACAAAAUUCAAAUAAUGUGAUUUUUAUACAAUAUUGACGUGAUUGUUGUCCAUGAGUAAUGAUACCUGCUGAUGACCGACUAUGAUGCAACAAAGCCGCAUAUGUGGCUGCUAGUUGGCGUUGCGAUGAGUUAGGCUACUCGGCCACUGACAACACAACGUGCUACUGAGUUAUGAUGAGAUGAAGACGAGUUGAGUGCUUACUACUGCAUGAAUAUUUUGGAAAUGAUGAGCAAGACUGUGAGAAAGUGAUUUAGAGUUUGAUUUGUGAGUUAUGAGCUUGUGGUUGUAAUUAAGUCUAAAUUAUAUUAAACAUUUUAUAUUAACUAAUAUUUAUAUUAUUUGUAUAAAUAUUUUGAUAUUUGUUAUUUACACCAAUAUUUUAUAUUUUACAAUUUAAAAUUUAUUAUUUAUUGACUAAUAAUUCUAGAAAAAUAAAAAAAAAUAUUAAAAUAGAGAAAUGGGGAGGGGACGGGGAUUACACCUCAUCCCCAUCCCUUCCAUGAAUAAGUAAUUGGGUAAAAAAUCAUCAUCGUCCCUUCCCCGAAUAAGAAGUUUGGUAUAAAAUCGUACAUGUACCCUCACCAAAUGGGAAAAAUCCCCAAGAGCCCCCAUCCCCAUCGGGAUUUCUGCUAUUCCUAAAUUAGAAUAAAUUAUUUAUUUGAACUGUAGGAAUCAGAAUCAAAAUAAGUUGGAUUAUCAUUUAUGUGUCUAUUUUGUCUUGGAAUUAAAAUCAAAAUGAUUUACAUUUUAACAACUUACUAAAAAGUGCUUAAUGAGCUAUUGUCAUAAUUAUUAUUUUAUAUUUUAAUUAUGGUAAUUAUUUAUUCAAAAAUUAUAAUAAUUAUUAUUGUUAAUAAUAUAUUCAUAUAUUAAUUAAUUGAAAAUUAUUUAAAUUAAUUAAUUAUUAAUAGAUUAAUUAUAAUAAUACAUUAAUUAAUUAUAACUGAGGAUAAAAUAUAUAUUUUUUAUUUUGUGAGGGGAUAAAAUGGUCAUUUCAAGGAAUGCGAGAGUCAUUCCUGCCUCCCUUGAGAAUUAAUCUUCCAUUUGUCAUUCCCAAAUUGCUGUGGACUCAACGAUUUUCAAUUCCGAUUCUUGACUCUAUUUUGUGAAGUAAAUGCUCUCAAUAAUUUCGAUUCCUCAAUCCGAAGAAGUAAAUGCACAGGUACUGUUUCUUCUAAAGCUCAAACUUGUCAGGUUUGAGAGACCUGAUAGAUACUUCAGUCAUGCAUCUAAUCCAUCAUAAGACAAACUGAAAGUUAGAAAUAAAAGGGACAACUCAAGGAAAAUGCACACAAGUGAGGUUUCAAAAUUAAAAUAGACACUUCAGCUGCAAAUCAGCAUACAUAUACAAUGGAGGUCAUACAAAUAUCAUUUCUACAACCGCCCUACUGUAUUCUUGAAUGAAGAUUGGUUUAGAGUCAAGUAAUAAGAUAUUUAAACUCAAGACAAAAAAAUACAAUAAAAUUUGCUGGAACUUAUAAGUAACUUACUCUCAUCUCUCCUCCUAAUUUAAUUGGACAUGCGUAAAUUUUCCAUGUUACUAUGGAUGAAAUAAAUUUUCUUUUUAUAAUAUAUGUAUGCAUUAAAAAAAAUUAAUAAUAAUAACUUUUACAAGCAUUUAUGCUUGUAUUAAUACUCUACUUUUUACCACACGAUUGCUUCAGUAAAUGGUGGAUGUUAAGAGAACAAUAAUAAUAGAAUUACAAACAAUUGCAUACUAUUAACUAACUUAACACUAUAAUAUUGUUUAUGGUGUAAGCACUCGAGGUAAUGUUAAUAUGCCAAAGAUUUAAAAAUAUUAGUUGUAGCUUUUGAAGAAAAAUAUACUUUCAGUUAGAAGGAAAAAAAAAAAAAGAAGAAGCUUUCUAACAAGAUAUCAAAAUGGUUAAUAAAAAGAGCAGUAGUAAUGUUACGAGGGGGUUCAAAUGGAGGGGCACGGGAAUUUCCAAAUUUGUAUCCAUUAAAUUUACCAAAAAAAAAAGAGAUUGGAUUGUUUUUUACAUAUUCUUAAUGUCACUUACUUGUUAUUUUUUUAAAUAUCAAACUUGUCAACUCUUAGGGGAAACAGGUAUUGGGGAAACAUGUAUUUAAGGGACUUUGUGCGGCUAAUUCUCAUCAUUCGCUACUCUAAACUUUAUUUUACAGAUUUGCGCAUCAUUUAUAACAUUUAAUUAAAUACACUUAAAUUAUAUAGAUUCAACGGUUCAACCUUCAUAUAUCACAUGAAGAGAAUACUGAAUUUUUAACAUCUCUCAUCAAGAGAUUGUACUGUGUUUACUCAAUUAGAUACUAAGUUUAUAUUCCAACUAAUGUCUUAAUAGUAUUUGAAUUAAAAAUGAUAAAACUUAAUAAUUAAUUAUUGCUUAAGUCAAUUAAAUAGUAUCAUAUCAUUUGUUUUAAAAAAAAAAAUCUUUGUUGUUUCAAGAUUAUUAAUCCUUUUUCAUUUAUUUAUUAUCAUUACUAUCUGCAACUAAUCAUAAUGAUUUGCAUCAACAUGUGAUUGUUUUUUUGACUCCAAGAACAGCUUGUCAAUAACAUGAAGUUUAUUUCUGACCGCCAAAGACCGAUACUCACUGGACAAAUUCCUAAAAGAAAGAUUCAAAUUCCAAUGUCUUAUACUUAUUUGAUUUGCAGUUCUUGUUAUGCUAAUGACUAGAAUGAGGCAAAGUGUUUUUUAAUUGAGAUGAUGGAUCUAAGGGUGCAGCAUGAUGUUGUGAUUUUCAAUGUUGACCAUAUAUGAGCUUUGUGAAAAUAGAAAGAUAGAAGAAGCAUGUAGGUUUUUAGAAUCGCAUCAAUGGAUGGGUUUUGCUUGACCUAGGGAACUAUUUGUUUCUGUGGAGAAUAAAGGGUGCAGAAAUGAUGUUGCUAAAUACAACAAGUUGAUAAAUGGGUAAUGCAAAAAGAAAGAAGUAGAGGAAGCGUUAGGCCUUUAUAGCGAAAAGCUUUCUAAAAGAAUUCUCCUAGAAUAUGUUGGGGGGAUGGAGCAGCUGCCCCCAUCGUACCCUAAGCCAACAGACUCAAAAUUGGAUGGGAACUUUUUUCAUUGAUUAUUUCACGAACGCCCGAUUCCAAAUAUGUAACAUACAACAUCAUGAUUCAUGGGCUUUGUAACAAUGGGCAAAUGGAUACGGAAGCAAGGCGUACGACGCCCAGUUGUGUCAUGUUUACUAAGCUUAUGCGAAAGAAUGACACAUCAAAAGCUAUUGAACUUCCUCACUCAAUGGAUAAGAGAAAUGUAAUGCGGGAUGCAUCUACACUUGCAACUGUUGUGGACUUUCUUUUAAAGAAUGAUAUCCGUUUAAACUCGAUUCCAGAAUUCAAAAGCCAAAAUUGAAUAUUGAUUUAGUAGCAUGUUUUUCUGCCUGCUGAAAAUCGGAUAUGGAGGAUCCGUUUCAUUAUACCAAAUGUGAACGAGUGUCACGUUGUGAGGGCAAUGUAAAAUCCUCGCCAUCUGGUUCGGUUCACCAAAGAAACUUCCCCAUUAAUUUCUUGAAAAAGUUAAGUUAAAACUGUAAAUGAAAGAAUCAUGAUGAUCUGUUUUGGUUUGUGAGAUGUUAGAAAGAGGCCAUUGUUAAAUAGACAUGAAUGCUGGAGAAAACUGUUAUGUUCUUUUAUUGAAUUAAGUUGAUCCUACUCGAUCUCUGCAUUUUAGAUUCCUACUUCAGAGUCGAAGAAGUGAAAGAUGGUGUGAAAAAAUUGUAUGCUUAAGUUAAUUUGAAUCCUUGUUAUUUAAUAAAAGCUAAGCUUCUUUCAAUCCGCACCUACGGUGGUCAUUUUUUUAUAUAUAUGGCGGCUAAUAAAUGGAUAAGAAAUAAUGUUUUUAAAAGACAUUUUUUUUUUCAAACACUAAAAAAGUUGCAGAAAAAAUAUUUAAAUAAUCUUGAUGUAUGUAUCUAAUAGCGUGUUUGUUAAGUGGAAAUAAAAAUGAGGGAACGAGAUACAUAAACUUAUUUACUUAUAAAGAGAGUAGGAGGAUUGAGAAUUAAAUUUGCUGGCCUCACAUCAAUUUAUGACUAACUCUUCGAUUUCUAAUUUCUAAGGGGGAUUUAGAAUCUAAAUCUCAUUUUCAAGACGGACUAUACUACCCCGCCCAAAUGUAAUAAUUUUCAUUUUGUCCUUCUUUUAAAUAUUUAAAAAAUAAAUAAAAAUCGCAUGAGUACUGUGCAAAGAUGGAUUGUUCUUGUUAUUGUUGAUGUUACUAUUACUAGCACCGCAUUACAUAUUAUUAAAUUAUUUUAAAUAUUACAAAUUAAAUUAUUUUUAAAUGAGUGAUAAAACCUGAUCAUUUAAUAACCAUGGCCAUUUAACAUAUUUAAACAUAAAAUUUCGUGUUAAAUUAUGUUUGAGUAUAAGGAUAAUGUAAGAUAAUUGGUACUUUAAUUUACAUUUAUGUGCCAACUGAAUAAAGUUCGCUAUUUAAAUUAAAUUAGAAACGGUGAAAUUCAAAAAUUAACUAUUAUUUAGCCAUUCAAACGCAGAGACAAUUUGUCACGGUUCCAAAAGCAUAGCAUCAUUGAAAGUACCGUAUCCCACUUGUAUUAAUAUUCGGAAGAAUGGAAGGAAAAGGGCAUAUGUUUCUCUUCUUCUAUUUUGGUAAUUCUUUUCUUCUUCUUCAACCCCAAAUAAUCAAAAGCUCUCCAAUGGCUUUCGUAUCCUCAACUCGUUCCUUUCAUUUUACUUCAAUUUCAAUAUCGGCUCUUAGAUGUAAUUUCUCCUCUUCGUUCCCUCAUACCGGAAAACCCAAAUCUUCAAUUUUGGAAAAUGAGCCUUCAGAUCCGACUACAACAGCUAAACUGAAGGAGUCGCUACGACUGACGGUCAAAGACCGAGCCUCACUCGAAAAAUUCCUCAAAGAAAGGUGCAAAUCAUCCGGUGAAGGUGAUAUUACUUCUAUUACUCCUAAUGAAGCCUUGUGUGUCUUUGAUUACAUGCUCAAUAUGCGCCCUUCUAGGCCUCCCGUCACUUCCUUCAAUAUUUUGUUUGGUUGUCUUGCUAAGACUAAACAUUAUGAUACUGUCCUUUCACUAUUCAAGAGACUCAAUUCCACUGGGUUGUUUCCGGAUCGUUAUACUUACAAUAUCUUGAUUAACUGCUUUUGCAAAAUGGGUCGAGUUUCUCAUGGUUUUGUUGUUCUUGGGAGAAUCCUCAGGUUUUGCUUUACUCCAGAUGCUGUGACCUUUACUUCUUUGAUUAAAGGUUUGUGUGCGGAGAGUAGAAUCAUGGAGGCCGCCGCAUUGUUUACGAAACUUAGAGUGUUUGGUUGUGAGCCUGAUGUCAUUACGUACAAUACUUUGAUUAAUGGAUUGUGUCGAACCGGCCAUACAAUUGUUGCUCUAAAUUUAUUUGAAGAGACGGCCAAUGGAAAUAGGAAAUUUGGUGUUAUUUGUAAGCCAGACGCUAUUACAUACAAUACUAUUAUAGAUGGUCUUUGUAAGGAAGGUUUUGUGGACAAGGCCAAGGAACUGUUUCUGCAGAUGAAGGAUAAGAAUAUUAACCCAGAUGUGGUUACUUAUAACUCUUUGAUUCACGGUUUUUGUUACGCUAAUGAUUGGAACGAGGCGAAUUGUUUGCUUAUUGAGAUGAUGGAUCAAGGGGUACAGCCUGAUGUUGUGACUUUCAAUGUGAUCAUGGAUGAGCUCUGCAAGAAUGGGAAGAUGGAUGAAGCAAGUAGGUUGUUGGACCUGAUGAUUCAGCGUGGUGUGCGUCCAAAUACUUUUGUCUAUAGCACAUUAAUGGACGGGUUUUGCUUGACUGGUAGAGUUAAUCAUGCGAAGGAACUAUUUGUUUCUAUGGAGAGUAUGGGUUGCAAACAUACUGUUUUUAGUUACAGUAUUUUGAUAAAUGGUUACUGCAAGAAUAAGGAAAUAGAGGGAGCGUUAACCCUUUAUAGCGAAAUGCUCUCUAAAGGAAUUAAGCCAGAUGUUGUUAUAUAUAACACCUUGUUUACUGGCCUUUUUGAAAUACACCAGGUUGAGCGUGCUUUCAAGCUGUUAGAUGAGAUGCAACGUGAUGGCGUGGCAGCUGAUACCUGGACAUAUAGAACCUUUAUUGAUGGGCUCUGCAAGAAUGGUUAUAUUGUAGAGGCAGUUGAACUAUUUCGUACUUUGAGAAUUCUCAAGUGUGAACUUGAUAUUCGAGCCUACAACUGCCUCAUUGAUGGAUUAUGUAAAUCCGGCAGACUCGAAAUUGCACGGGAACUAUUUCGUAGUUUGCCUUGUGGAGUCCUAAUAGCAGAUGUUGUAACAUAUAACAUCAUGAUCCAUGCGCUUUGUACUGAUGGGAAAAUGGACAAGGCACAUGAUUUGUUUCUUGAUAUGGAAGCAAAAGGUGUAGCACCCAAUUGUGUCACAUUUAACACGCUUAUGCUAGGUUGCAUCCGCAAUAAUGAGACAUCAAAAGUUGUUGAACUCCUUCACAGAAUGGAUGAGAGAAAUGUAAUACCAGAUGGAUCUACACUUUCAAUUGUUGUGGACUUACUUGUAAAGAAUGAAAUUAGCUUAAACUCGAUUCCACAAUUCAAGAGUCAAAGUUAAAGUGAGUUUAUAUUGAUUUAGUCUCAUGUUUCUUCUGCCUGAAAACCCGAUCUGGAGGAUCCCAUUCUUAUUACAACAUGUAAAGGAGUGUUGUCUAAUGUUGGCAUGUUCCUAGGUUCUGUCCAUGGAUUCUGUUUGCAGACAUGGCUAACUUCUUGUCCAACAGAUAAGUUUUAAAGUCUUUCAACUUUAUGUUGUAAAAUAACAUUUUUAUUAUUCAAUUCAUGAGUUUUCCUUCUGUAACACAUCCUUCUCAUUAGCUGGAAGUGCAAAUUUUUUAGGCUUUUCCUUAUGGCCUCUUUUUCUUCUCUAAAUAAAAUGGCAUUUUGUUUCCCUCCUGUGAGGUACAACGUUUAUGUUCAAACUUUCUGUUAGUUAAGUUGGUUGUCUUUGAUAUAGGGAACUUCCAGUUGAACUGAUUUGUAAUUCGAGUAUAUGAGAUUACCAACUGUAUUGGGAAUUGAUGCCAAAUUAAUUAUGUCAUCAGGUUUUUCAAUCAGCGUUCAUCAUUUAUUUCUAUUAACAGUUAAUAGCACAGCUUGUCUUCUCAGCUUCAUUGAUUCCUCUAAAAAAUAAUCUUGUAAAGACAAUUUUUUUUUUUUUUUUUGGCGUGGUAAAUGCUAGAUAGUUUGUGGUCUGAAUGAUACUAAUAAUUGCCCAAAUUGCCAUGUAACAAGGAGUGUUGCAUAGUGAUGUCAUGCUCACAGGUACCACUCAUCAACAUGGCCAACGCUUUCGAUGCAGUCAUUAUUAUGGAAAUUCAAGAGUUCUCCUCCUAAGAGGUCUCUCUCUCGUUCUCUUAAUUUCCUUAUUCUGUUUUGGAAGUAAUGUAAUGGGAAAAUAGCAUUUAAUUUCCUUGUGUGUGACAUUUUCUUCUAUAAAUGCUAUAAAAUAUCUUUUUUUUUCAUCAUUGAUAUGUAUUACACAAUCAGAAGACUACUCGUAUUUAUAUGAAACAUCUACUUUAUGGCACAGUUCAGAUUUUUAUCCUUAUAAAUAUUGGAGGGAUAUCUUUAUGUUUCUUCUGUGAUAACGUUUCUGCGUGCUGCAACCUUUUUAUUAGAUUGAUAGAAUGUGAAUACAAGGAAAUUCUGUUUGAUAAUCUCGGCAAACCAGGAUUAAUAUGAAAUGGAGCGUCAUCAACAAAUACUUAGCAUAUUGCUGACUAUGAUUUGUUCUCCUCCCCUCAUUCUUUUUGUGAGUAGAAUUGGAUUGUGAAACUUGUUAUGUCAGCACAAGUGUUCUUACAAGUUGACGUAAAAUACACUGACUUGAAAUAAUGGCAUGGUAAUUGGUAUAGAUAAGCUAGCAUGAGUAUAUUUUGUCACCAAUUUCGCCAACCGCGUCUGGGUGUGGAAAUUAUAUUGCAUUUCUAAUGUCAUUUGAAAGAAAAACUUGCAAAAUUUGUAAUUUGUUAAAUCUGAACCGUGGUUCACAUCUACUCUUCCCGAACUUGAGUCAUAUGAUUCAAUUUUUUAGUGGGCAUGGCGAGAUAGAUUUCUACCAAGCCCAACCCAUUUAUCUACCCUUUUGUAAUUUUCUAUCAUGCAUAUAUUUAUAUUUUUGUAUAGUUAAUAUCUAAUUAUUUAUGUAUUUUUAUCGAAUAACUACUAAUUAUAUUUUUCUAAAAAAUCGGCAUGAAAAGUUCAACUUAAUAUUGAAUUAAAUUUUGAUAAGUAUAUGUCAAAUGUUUGGAAUUCUUUUUCUAGUCUUCAUGAUUGAUUAAUUGGAAAAUAAAUGUGUAUGUAUUAAAAUGGUAUUGGAUAAACAUGCCCCUAUCACCCAAGUUUUCCUUUGGAUAAUUUCCUAACUUGCAAGUUGAUAUCGAUGUUUAAAAAGAACCAAAAAAAAAAAAAAAAAAAUACAUUGAAAUCUUUAUAAAUUACUUCUUGACCUAAUAGUUGACACUUUCUCACCUUAUUCUUGAGGUUGAAGGUUUGAAUUUUCUUAUGUGGAUUUUAGGUGAACUACAGAAAAACAGCUUAUAUGAGACAUUUUCAAAAUAAGUAUGAAUGUGGUACUUAUUCAUCAGAUGGACAUAUUAAUGACGUGAUAAAUUCGUGUUAUGUAAAUUUUCCAGACUGUAUAUUUAUAUUAUAAUAUUAAAUAAAUAAAUAAGAAGAAAGAAAGGAAAAUGCAGCUUCCAAAUUUUUUCAUAGAUUGGCUAUAUGCACAAACAGCAAAUCAAAACAAAAAGAAAGGAUGUGACAUGACCUUACUUCCUGUUAUCCCAGUUAUGGAAUUCAAGUCAAUCUUUGAAGUAAUGCACUUUUAUUACUCUAUGACAGAGACAGGUCCAAGUCUUUCUUCCAAAUUCAUAAUCUUCAACAUUUCUCCAACCAAUCAAGCAAGGCUAGAGAUAGGUAACAUACAUUUUGAUGUACAUUUGGCUUUUGUAUCAUCUACUUCACUAGUGAUCCAUUAAAUGGAUCCACCAUUAACGUAAAUGCUAGUUUAACUAUUGACAGUGGAGCAAGUAUGUAUGUGGUCCCUACGCACAAGCAUACACGCCCAUUAAAGCAUUUACUCUCCUCAUCAUUGGAUAUGAAUUUUGUGAACUAUAUAUCUUUUUGGGGGUUUCAUUUAUCUUUCCGGUCUCUUAUGAUCAUUCACGGCUCCUGCUGCUGCUUCUUAUUGGCUCUUUGACAUCCUCUGUCUUGUUCUUGCUGUGUGUGUCAGCCACUAGCAACUGCUUCAAGCAAUGUGAGUUUGUUGCGUGAGCUUCCGUUUUGGUUAUUUUCAAUUAUUAUUUUUGUUGAUGGGUUUGUGAUUUUGUGCUGUAUUAUUACAGGAUUACACUGUUUAUAUGGAAGAGAGAAGAUAUGAUGAGCCUUAGCUGGUUCAGGAUUCGGACCAUCAGAUUCUUUCGGAUAUUCUUGGAAGGUUUAUAUUUCAAUCUCUUUAGCCGAAUUUACCUAUUAUAUUUUUAUCAUAUAAACGCUAUGCAAAAUGUUUAUGUUAAUGUAUGGCGAAAAUUGAAAAAUGGAAAAUAAAAAUAUUUGUGCUGCUUUCACUAUUUAUCUAUGUUAAUCUGUUUGAUAAAAUGAAGUGGAUGUCAUUAUUUCCAUGCAUCAGUAAUUACAAUCCAUAUUAUGCUCUUGCUAGUCUGUGCUCCAUUUGAACAUCGCAACGAACUUAUUUACUUACAUAUAUUUUGUGCUUUCUGGUUGGAAAUUGGAAGUUUUAACCAAUUUCUGAUCAGAAACAGCCCUUUUGAGUGCUAUGGCAGAAACCGCAGACGCGGCCUAACCUUCAUUUUUAAUUUGUAUCAAUUGGUAGUUUUUUAUAACUCUCUCUUUUCCCCUCUAUCAAUAAUGAAUGGUAUUCGCUAGAGAAACCGUAAGGGGACUAAUCAUUGUGAAAAGCACUAGGUGAUAACUAGCAGUUUCAAUUUGACAGCAAAGAAGCUGCUAAGGAAUCAAUUCUCUGUACAGCCACAAGCAUGGUUUUUCUGGAUUUGCCGCAGUCUUAACAGUCUCAAGCCAAGUUAACUGCAGGUGUUAUAAUGUUGGUGAAUGAAAUCUGUUUUAGCUGUCCAAAUUUGUUUUAUUAACCAAUAUUUUCUGUUGAUACGUUUUGUAUGAUGCAUUUGUGCAGAUCACCCUGCCGUGGUCUGUAUUGUACCAAAUAGGACACUCAGUUUGCACACAACCAAAAUGUUGUGAAUGAAAUUCCUUCAAAAGGCCAUUCAGGCGCUGGAAGUUAUUUUCAGAUUCAUGGAAAUAACUAUAAUACUGGUGGCAUUUAGUUUCCAAGUGAUCUUGGUAGUUCAAUAAGUUCUAGUUCUACACUUGUUUCCAAAGGUUUUGGUUACAUGAUGGUCUGCCCGUUGAAUUACAAACUUGUGAUGAUUUGUACAAGAGGAAAAAAUGUAUUGGUUGGAAUUUUUGUUUCAUAUGAUAUAACUCUGUGAAACAGCUUUACAUUUUGUGUUCAAGUUGAACAACAUACAAUUUGAACGAAGAUUAUUCAAUCAAAUUGAAGAUUUCUGUUUGAAUAUUUUGAAUGACAAAAUUAAAUUUACUUUCAUGCAGAUGCAGUAGCAUUUAAUCAAGUUCCUUGUGCUGUUGAAACAAAAAUAUAACAUCCUUGCUUGCAUUUCAACAUGAUAUGAUGCUACUCUUUUACUGUUAACCAACACACAUACAUCAUGUAGGCCUAAUGGCAAAUGUUGUAAUAUAUAACAUCAUGAUCCAUGGGCUUUGUAAUGAUGGGCAAAUGGACAAGGCAUCAUGAUCCCCCCCCCCCUCCUUUUUUGCUAUGGAUUGUAUUUCUUUUUUUUUCUACUUUUACUUGCGUUGACAAUUUGAGCUUGCUGUCUUGUGGUCUUAGAACCUGCUAAAGUAAGCGUGUAAGCGACAGUGAAGAAGGGGAAGGGUUUACUCGUCAUUUUCUUUUUGAAAGCAAUGCGUUUUAUGCGGUGAUAUUUUUUUUAUCUACGUUGUGAAAAAAUUUGACUGAUUUUGAAGAUCCUUAAAGAUCGUCCAUCUUGGUUCUGGCAUUGUUGCAGCCUUGAAGUUUGCAAAAUGAUUCCUGCUGGAUAAAUUGAACAGCUGCCUCUUUGAUGGAUUAUGUAAAUCUGGCAGACUUGAGUUUGCAUGUGAAUUGUUUCGUAGUUUGCCUCGUCGAGUCCUCGUGGCAGAUGCUGUAACAUAUAACAUCAUGAUCCAUGGGCAUUGUGACGACGGCCGAAUGGAUAAGGCACAUGAUUUAUUUCUUGAAAUGGAAGAAAAUGCUGUGGCACCCAAUGUGAUCACAUUUGGUACGUUUAUCCAUGGUUUUAGCCAAAUCAAUGAGCCAUCAAAAGUUAUUGACCUUCUUCACAAGAUGAGGGAGAAAAAAGUAAUGCCAGAUGCAUCUAUAGUUUCAAUCGUUGUGGACUUACUUGUAAAGAAUGAAAUUAGUCUGAACUCACUUCCGUCAUUUCCUGUCCAAGAGCGACAGGGGGAAGUUGAUGAGUGAAAUGUCAAGUUGUAGCAGCAUGUGCUUUCAGCCCAAAAUCCUGAUCCGCAGCAUCUCAUUCAUGUUACAAAAUGACAUGUUGGCUGGUGACAGCAUGUUCUCUCCGGUGCUGUUAAUGGAUUCUGAUUGUUCUUGUGAUCUGGAGAGUUUCAUUCAUAUUACAGAUCCUUAUCAGGACGAGCUAGCAUAUGUGAUCACCAACUGUACAUGGUUGUUGAUGCCAAAUUAAAUUAUGGUAUCAUGUUUUUCAACUUGUUAUUUAAUAUAGUGCUUCCAUUGAACGGCCACAAGAAACUGUAGAAUCACCGUGUCUUGUUUAGAAGCUAAUGAAUUAGUUGCACCUUGUCACUUUAUUGAGACUUGAUUGUCAUUUGUGCUUUGAAUUUACAGCAUAUUUUAUCCUUGCUGUACUCUUUGCAUAAUCACUUUUGAGGGCUGCUAGUAUGUAUAAUUGAAAAACCUUAUAUAAAUUGUAAGCAUUUUUAUUUAACUUGUUGUAAACGUCCAGUAUAUGUCUCUCCUGUGAAAUGAUUCAUUCUCCAUGCUGCUAGGGCCUAGGCUUAUGACUCUCUGAAAUGAUUUACCCUCACCUGCGCACAGACAUUUAUCACAUUCGAGAAAUCUUCAAACAAUGUGAAAAAAAUGCCUCAAACACGACAUAAACUUAGUUGUUUACAUGAAAAGUGGCAGAAACUUGGUGAAAUUACCGAUUAAACUUCCAAAUAACAUUUCAAAUGGUAUUGUGAAAAAUUUCACUCUUUUGGUAAUAAAAAAGAACCUUAUUUCUAGUUCUCUAUUAACAAUCUUACCACUAAGUUCUCUCUUAAGUAAACACAUAUAUAUGUUAAUUUAUUGUUAAUAUAAACAAAACUAAAUAUUUAUAACUUAAAAGAUAAGUGUUGAAUAGAGGCGUUCUCACAGGGAAAAAAAAAAAGUAUUUAAAAAUAGUGGUGAUAUCAUAAUUUUUUAUAUUGAUACGAGAAUAUCACACUAAAUUUUUAUACCAUGUAUUGGCAAGACAAAGUUUCUUGAAACUGACAAACUUUUCUCUAUGAAGAUUGAAGACAAUAUGAUAAGAUAAAAUUUAUCAAAAGCAUAUAUGCUUGCCAGGGCUGGACCUUUGAUUUUUAGUCCUCGCCUUUCGUUCUUGUUUCAUAUUCUUCUGCUAACAAAUCUUGAUCAGGAUGAGUCUCCUUUUUUCUUUAAAAAAAACCCACACGUAAAGUCUUGGCCAUAAGCCUCAAGACCUAUUGGCUGUUGCAGUGGUGAGUUCACUCUCAGGAAUCAAAUCUUUCAAAUUCAAGCGAAUUUGAAGAAGCUCGAAUUUGAAGAAAUUUCAAAUGCCUCGUGCAGGCCUAAUGCCAAAUGUUGUAACAUAUAACAUCACGAUUCAUGGGCUUUGUAACGAUGGGCAAAUGGAUGAGGUACAUGAUAUAUUCACGCUUCUGUCUAUAACACAUUAAUGGAUGGGUUUUGCUCGACGGGUAGAGUUAACCAUGCGGAGGAACUAUUUGGUUCUGCCAUUGUUGCAGCCUUGAAGUUUGCUAAACGUUUCCUGCUGGAUAGAUUGAAAAAGUUUGUCUGGAUGGCCUGGUUUUGAAUUGAUUUUAAUAGAAAACGAGCUUCAAGCAUGUGCUCCAACUACUCUGGCAUGAGGUAAUACUAUAAUUUAUUUAUUUUUAAUGAGUGAGGCUAUAAAUCCUGAAUUCCAACUUGACAUGGCAUUAAUCUGGUGAGUGGCAGAAUAUUAAUUAAAACAAAAUCAUUUUCAACUUAACUUUCACAUCAAACAGAGGGGCUAAUAUGCUUUCCGGAUUAUGAUCCGCUGGCAAUCGGAAAGCCAAAAAAUUAAUUAUUCCAUUAUUAAUUCCAAUAGUAUCGCUGUAUCAGCUAAAAAGCACAAGAUUAAAUUGAUUUACGCACUUGCACCAUUUAUUUAAGCAUACUGUUGGUUUAGCGUUUGCUUAAAUUUGAAAGUAGAGUGUUUCCAUGCCACAGUGCCAUGACAUUGGUGAUUGGCCAACAGUUUUUUUUUUUUUUUUUUUUGUGUAAUCUUUUUUGGUUGCAGUAAUAAAAUGUUAAUCCUUUCUUCUCAUGAAUGUUUUCUUGAACUGAAAUGUUAAUCAUUUCUUCAUGUUGAGGCAUUAAACUACUACAGACCUAGGGUGGCAAUAUAUGGAAGUAAAUGGUCGUUUAGUAGGACCCUUUAAUUAGGGUAUUAGCUGCUCAAUUUGGAGAUCUCAUGGACCAACAAUUUAUCUGGAAUGUCACAUUCACAUAUUUGAUUGAAAAAGGAAUUAAGGAAUUUCAGGUGGCCCGGAAACGCAACCAACUAUACCCGACAAUGGCAGAAGACAUUAUAGAUUAUCGAUUAUUGAGUUAAAUAUGAAUGGUGGGAUUUCAGGUGGCCUAAAAAGUUAAACAUGAAUGUUCUACAUAAGGUUAUCUGUAACUUGAAGUUCAACAAAAAGUUUUAAAACUAGAUAUUACAAUGGUGGGAUUUUGCCUUUUAUCUCUUGUUUCUCUUCCCUUAAUCGUUUCUUGGCAUGUUUUAUCAGCUCUUCCUUUGGGUCAUUUUGUAGGACGGGUUACACCAGCUAAGCACAUGGAAAGGUUAUGUAGACUGGACUCUGGAGGAAUAAACCUGCCCUGAGAGGCCGUCAUGGUGGCAUGCUUUGCUGCUUGUUUUGUCUUGGGUCGGUCUAUUUUUCCUAUUACUAAGGCACAUUUGCACCGUUAUGUCUUGCGAACGAUUAAACAUUUACACUUUAUAGUAAAAAAAAUUACAUAUUAAGAGAAAUAUUAUAUUUGCAUGCUGAUAUGAAUUAGCACUAGAAACAUGAGGCUUGCUAAUUAGAAUUGUUAUAUUGUCAAACUCAGCUGUGGAGGUACUGGAGAAUCCAGUAUAUCUGGCCAAUGCAAGCAACCUUGUGCUGUAUCUUUCAAAGUUUAUGCGUUUUUCACCAUCCAGCUCUGCAAACAUAGUUACCAAUUUCAUGGGUUCCUCUUUGCUCUACUUGGUGGCUUUUUUACGGUUGCUUUCUUCAACACCGACAGCAGCUAUGUCAUAAGUGAGCAAUAGAAUUCAUGGUAAGUUUUUUGUUAGGAUCAAACUUUUUAACUUGUUAAAUUUUUGUAAUUUCUUACUAAUAAGGCAGAGUUGCCUAUUUUUAUCCGAUUAUCAUGCCUCAUACAAUUUUCUUGGGAUUUGCUUCGAUGCCUCUGUGACUCACCAUGAAACUCAAAAACUUUCUAAAACUAGCUCCAAAUACACAUUUCUUUGGAUUAAACUUCAUUUGGUACUCCCUCAGCAAACCAAAUGUUUCUUUCAAAUGCUGCACGUGGUCACUCGAGUUGUGAGACUUUGUGAUAAUGCCAUCCUUAUAUGCCUCCAUUAUGUUCCCAAUCAGCAGCUUGAAGAUCUUAUUCACGAAUCUCUAGUAUGUUGCUCAAACAUUUUUCAAGCCAAAGGACACGACAUUAUAACAAUACAGCCCUUGGUUAGUAACAAAAGAAGUAUGCUCCUCAUCCUGCUCGAACAUCGGUACAUGGUUGUAAUCCAAAAAGGCAUCUACAAAGCUGAGAAGUCCAUGUCUAGUUGUGGAAUCGACCAACUGAGCUAUUUUAGGCAAUGGAAAAAUAUCUUUGAGGCAUACCUUAUUGAGGUUCAUGAAAUCCAUGCACAUUCUCCACCUCCUGUUCACUUUCUUCACCUACAUCACGUUCGAAAGCCGCUACGAGUUGUUUACCUCCUUGAUGAAACCUGCAUGUAAAAUUUUAUCCACUUCACUACUAAUGCCGUCAUACCUAUCCUAGUUAAAGCAUCUUCUGUUUUGUUUCAUCGGUCUCGCAUCUCUGCUCACUGCUAACUUGUGACAAGCCGCCUUGGCAUCGACCCCUGGCAUAUCUUUGUCCUGCAAGCCAAACACAUUAAAAUGUGGUUGCAACAACUCCACCAGCUUUGCUUCCAAAUCUUCCCCAUGGGUGGCUUUAAGUAUAGGCGAACAAGGCCGUCGCCUAAGCUCUCAUAUUUUAAGAAGACCUCAUUUUUUAAGUAUUUCCUUAAUAAUUCUCUAAUUAAUAAAAUAUUUUAAUAUAUAUUUUAAGAAAUUAAAAAGUUUAUUAGAUAUCUCUCUAUUCUUAAUUAUUCUAUAAUUAAGAAUUAUUUUUUAUAAAAAAAUCUAUAUUUGGGAACCUUAAUUUUAAAGAAAUAAUUAAUACUAUUCUUUAACCAUUAGUUCAUUCCUUUUCAAUUAUUCAAUGUUAGCAUAUUUGACUUUUAAUAUUUCUUUUAAUUUCUAUUAAAAACCUCAUAAUCUCAAGAAUUAGUAAAUGAAAAAAAUUUAUUGUUCGCUUCUCUACAAAUAAAAUUUUUAUAUUCGUUGGUUCAUUUAAAAUAAUUAGUUUCUUAAAAUAUAAAGUCCAUUUUUAUUUUUGAACAUCAAUUCAUCAUUUUAAAAUUUUUAUAUUCUAUCUUUCUAAAUAUUCUAUUUGAAAAUAAAAUUGUUUUUAUUUAUUUGUUUGUUUAUUUUUUAACGGUUUUAAUGGAAUAAAAAAAUUAUCUUCUUGACUAUUUUUUAGGUUUUAUUUUUUAAAUUUUUGAUUUUUUUAUUAUUGUUGAAAUUCAAGAAUUAAAGAUGGAAUAAAUUUUGAUCCUUUGUAUAUAUCUUUGAGUAUUAAAAUUACAAAACAAUAGAGGUCUCAUAAACAAAUUUCGCCUAAGGCCUCUCAAACUCUAAAGCUGGUCCUGAUCUUCCCCCUAGGGGUAGCCAUAAAUUUUGGGUUCGAUUUAGUUUAACCUUUAAAAUCCGAACAUGUUUAAACUUAGAACCUAUUCGUUUUUAAUUGUUUUGUCAAACUUUUAGGAGAUUAAAGGGGUGUGAAAGGACAUAAGAAGUCUUGUUAUGGCUUGGCCCUUUAUAAUAGAUAUUGGUGCACAUGCUCUUUUCUUCUAUAUUUUUAGAGAAAGAAAAUUAGUAUAUGAUCUGUUUGAAGUCGCCUGGAAUUUCAAAAAUCCUAUGCUUCAAUAUAUUAUUAAUCAAAUCCCCUUAUAUCUUGAUAAAAUCUUUUUUACUCUUUCAUUCGCAAGGAGCUGGAUGAUGGCUGGAAAUAAGGAAAUUCCUUUUUUUUUGUUUCACCCCAAUUGUUCUUGUAUUUGUAUAUUGCCAUAUAUCAUAAAAUACAAAUUUAUGUAUGUCAAAAUGAAAUCGAUCUUAAAAAAAGAAAAAAAAGAUCUCGCGUUACUGCCGCUUACACACCCCCAUGCCACAGCUGCUAUUAAUUCCGUUUGGCGCACCAGCAUUACAGCUUCUAGCUGUUCUUUCUUCCUUGAGUUGAUUUGGUUCCUCGUUCUAGGCUUCAAGUUAAUGUCGUCUUCAGCCAUUCUAGAGUCGUUUACUUUUGAUCUAGCUGUUGCUGUCUCUACCUCCUUCUUCAUUAAUUGCCAUCAGCCGCAUAAAGGAAGGAUGUGAGUUUAUGUUUACGAUUCCUAAUGGUGAUGAAUAAGACAUGGUGUAAGAGAUGUUGUUAACUGAAUUUAGUAUGCUUUCUAGGAUCAUAUGCAAUACAUAUGUAUUUCUUGUAUAAUUGUUGUUUGUAUAUUGUAUUUCAAUCGGGCAUGGCUAUCUUUGUCUUACUCUUGUACAUUUCUAUUACUUUAGAUAACUAUUAAGGUGUAGAUGGCUUUCACGGAUAAAUAAUAAGCAAUUUUAGGAGCUUUUCGUGUAAAAAUAUAGAACCUAUAUUGUUGAAAUGUCGAGUAUACUUAGUAGUUGAUAUUUGUUUAUAUUUUUACAUUAAUCUGGGAUGGGAUUUGAACUUUAUAACCGAAAUUGAAUCUAAACCAAAAUUAAGAUAAGAAUAUUCAAACUAAAUCGAUCCAAAAUGCAAACCUAAACCAAAUUGAGCUAAAUUAAAUUUGAUUUAGUUUGGUUUGGGUUUACUCUCUAAACCUGAUUGGAUUGACUUCUCCAACCCAAUUAAGUUUUAGCCCAAAUUGAAACCUAAACAACCUGAAUCAAAACCCGAUUUGCCCACCCUUAUGAUACGAACCCAUCCAAAAACUAACGCAACCCUAAUCAAUUUAAUCUCUAAGAUUAAAUAGAAGCACUACCCAAUGUUCAAUGAAAGCAUGAACCUUAGUAUGUGAGGAUGCUACAAUCAAUUAUGGAUGAUUUGAUUAUAAGUUAAGAGUUUGAAUGACACAGAAAUUUGAUAAAUUCAAAUAGUUUGUUUAAGAAUAAAAAAGAAUUAACUCUCUCACUAAUUGCAUCAAAAUUUAUUUGUCUUUGUUUAUUAGAUGCGAGUACAUUAUAUAGGAUUGGUUACAAAAAUUUUUAGAAAUAAAUCCUAAACCGAAAUCAAAUCAGAAUCCUAAUCUAAUGCAAAUAAGAAAAGAAUUUUAGUCAAAUCAUAAUCCUAAUCAAAGCAAGUAGGAAAGAAUCUAAAUCGAGUCAAAAUUAUAAUCUAAGUAAAUAGGAAAGAAUCUAAAUAAAAUCAUAAUCCUAAUCGGUUUAAAUAAAUUACAUCAAUUAAAAUAAAAACUCAACAAUUAAAAGAGAAAUAACUUCUUGUUUCUCCACCAGCAUCAUCCAGAAACGGGAAAGUAUUCAAAAAGAAAAGUAGCAUAUUUUUCAAAUGGAAAAGUAUAUGAAAAAGAAAAAUAAGAUAUUUUCUCGCCGUAAUGUGCAAGCCAACUUCCUAUUUUAUGGAAGUGAUUAUUUGGAAACUUUAAGAGCCGUAAUCAUGUAUUUAUCACGUGCAAUUCCUUCAAUAGGCCUCUAUAAAUUUGAUCGAGCCUCAAUUACUUGAAUAAACCCAUUAAACGCUUCUUUAAAUUUGUUUGUUCGAGCUCUAGUGACAGGUCCAACGAUAACUUGAAUAGGAUUUGAAUAUAUCUCAUCCCACGUGCUUGUGAUAGUUUUGUCCUCAAUCUAAUCAUUUUACUUCCCUAAUCUCGACCCAAUCUUUAAAAUUUUUUCAUGCUAGCUUGACUUUACUAUGACUGCCUUGAGAUUUUCAACUGGUUUUUAUCUCUCUUUCUUGAAAUCUCUUCAAGUGUCAAGUUAUCUACGUGGCUUCUUUAGUCGCGGACACAUAAUCGCACCUAACAAUUCUCUAGUCACCCUUUACAACUUUUGCCACACUAUUUACUCAUUCUUUGAGUGCCAUGUAAUGGUUAGACAUCAUGGACUUGCUAAUCCUCAUAAAGGGUCUUCCAAAAAUUAUUUGAUAUGGGCUGUCUUCCUCGACUAUUAUAAAAAAAACUGGCAUGAUGGUCUUUUCAAAUGGUCCAGAGCCGAUCGUUACUAGCAGCUCUAGGCAUUAAUUUUCCUCUUCUAUAUCCUUUCAAAGAACUGUUGGUGUGCUUGUUGGGUAAAAAUUCAAAUACUAUGGGUGUCAAUGUGUAAGUAUACACAACAAGUAAUAUAAUGAUAAAUAUACAAGAUCAUCUCCACAGGGGUUGAUGUUACGAAAAUUACUACAGCAAGCUUAACAAUUUUGGUUGAAGUGAAAGUAGAUUGAUCAAUUAAACAAAUAAACUACCUAAUAAAAUGCAAUAAGUAAAUAUGCAGAAAAGCAAACUCUCAGGUCAAACACAAAAAUAAAAUCAAUAGGAAUGAAGUAGUUGAGUGACUAAACUCUUUUAAUGGAAUUGACUAUUUCUUGCAAAUUUCGAUUCAGUUGCUGCAGCAUCUGCUACAGUACUAGGCAUAAUCCUCAUGCAUCAUCAGCUGUCGCAUGUUGGAUGUCUUAUAUCUAUAUGCAACCUAACAAUGACCAAUUGUUAUGCCAACAUAAUAUAUAUCAUUACACAUUUAGGUUCUAUUUACCCUAUAAGGUGAAUCCCUAUAUCUAGUUCAUCACUAAUUUUAGAUUAAGUAUGACCUUUUUUGGAAUCAAGUUGAACUCAAUCUAGGAACCCAAUCUAAAACUAAAUAUUAUUCUAAUAUGUUCCACUAAGAUAAGCCAUUUUGUGGCUCUUUCCUAGCUUGUACCAUUAAAUGGGUAGUCAGCUAAAAUAAUGACUUUAAAUAAAUACUAUCACAACAAAAUGUUAUAGCAAACAUGCAGCCAGGGACGUAGCCAGGAUUUUGAUCGAGUUGGGGCACAUUUAAAAUAAAAAAUGACUUGAAUGCGCGAUUGCUCGUGUGGUAAGUGUGGGCCCCACAAACUCCAAAUGGGAGCUUGCCACAUGUACAAUCGUGCUCCUUAUAGAGUGUUUCUGACUGCAUCUAAUUAAAAUGCUAUUAAAAUAUAAUACACUUCUAAAAAUUUAGAUGGAAAUAUAUAACAUUAUGUUGAGUGUUAGAAAAUGGAUAUUUAUAAAGGAGAAAAUCGUCAUUUUACAUUUCAAGUCUUACUAACAACCCUUACUUUUAUGUAUUUAAGCUUCUUGUAAUUUAAUUAUGUGUGUUUGAUUUUAAUUAAGUAUUUUAUGUAUUUUAGGGGCAUCAUAGUCAAUUCACAAUAAAUGAGAGAUCAAACGAUAAAACGGACAUCACUUUUGAACUCAGGACGGUCGAAAACCUUAAGAGAAGCAUAAAAGGAAAAAUGGCACUGUUCACAUGUACGGUACUAUUCAUAUGUACGGUACUGUCUACGUUACUGUUCACGACACUGUUCAUAUAGACGGAUCGAUGACGUGGCAUUGACCGAUGAUGUGGCAUUCACUGAUGAGGUGUCAUGAUCCUGUUGGACUAAAAUUCUUAUGUACUGUUGAUGGUGACGUGGCAGCAUAUUAGUGGACUAAAAAACGUGUGUACGGUACAUGCAACACAUGGGAAUAUUUUCAACCAAACCGCAUUACUGUUCAAACCGUGUCACUGUUCAAACCGCGUGGUCAAACCGUGUUACUGUUCAAACUGCGUACUGUUCACUGAUGACGUGGCACAAUCCUGAGCAUCCAAACUGUUUUCAAUCCGAUGGCCAUGAUUUACUCAAUGUAUCUAUAAAAAUGGGACUUCUCCCCCCGAACGCAUGCGAUUGCUCAUGAGGAAUAACAUACCUGCUGAUAUCUUUUGGUUAAUCGAGGUGAAAGUACGAUUGGCAGGUGAGUUACCUCCAAAAUUUAUUGCAUACAUGCCUGGUUGUGGUAAAGAAAAUUAUGCAAGAAAACGAUGAGCUCGAAGAAUUUCUGUUGCUUGUCAUAAGUAUGCCAGAAUGAGUUGCGAUAAAAAUCCAUAUUCUUUAGGAAUGGCGUCUGAUAACAGGGAAUAUAAGAUUCAAUUCAUUAGGGAUGACUUGAAUAAGGAGUCAUUGGAUGAUAUCCUUUUAUCUCUUGAAACGCAUCCCAUUAGAUAUGUGCAAGGAACGAUUAUUCAGUUAUGACCAUUAUUCCAGAAAGAGCAUGCACGAUAUAGUCUCGGGAAUCUGACUAUAAACGACCAUGUUUGCCAGUUUAUAAAAAAAUUGGAUGGGAAGCCUAUCCUAGACCCAUAAAGGGCGUUCAAGCCGUUUCUGGACGUAAAACCAGAGGAAGAUGUGAGCCACAGUCGCAACUACCUGUAAAUAUCCUUUUACUUUACUGUUAUUUUAUUUUACUGUUGUUUUAUUGUUUGUAUUAUUGUCUUUAAUAAUUUUAUUGUUGUUUGCUUUUUCCUUUUUACUGUUUCCUUUUUUACUCGCGAACCAUGUGCUUUACGCGUUAUUUGACACUGACAUACUACCUCAUACACAGCUGUGACCCACUGUCCCCAAGAUUCUUAAAUAUGAAUUUUUGUCAAGCACUCACAAAUUAUUUUUGAGAAGUAUCCCAAUGACAGCUACUCCACAUAGACAAUUUAAGAACAUUUGUGUGCUUUCUGGAUUUAACUAUGGCAAACCUAAAGAGUUCGUUGAGGCAGCCAUAGAUCUUGGUCGAAGCAUAGCAGAGAGAAAAUUACACUUGGUGUAUAGAGGAGGUAACUGAGGGUUAUUAAAAUUGGUCUCAAAAGCUGCUUUUGUCAGAGGAAGCCAAGUGCUAGGCAUCAUCCCAAGCGUCCUAAAACCUUUGGGCAGUUUGUCUGACUCAUCGACUGGAGAAGAGUUAGUCGACUCAGGUAUGCAAGCAAGAAUAACUGAAAUGCUUAAUCAUGCUGAUGUUUUUAUUUUCCUUCCAGGAGAUCUUACAACACUAGAGGCACUUAUCACACUAGCAUCUUGGGCCCAUCUGCACAUUCACCAGAAACCCAUCGGUUUGCUAAAUGUCAAUAACUUUUAUGAUGGCUUUAUCGCAUUUCUUAACCAUGCAAUAAAAAAAUAUUUCAUUCCUUCAAAUGCGAAAAAACUUUUUAUUUGUGCUCACACUGCUACUUGAUCUGUUACAAGCUCAUAGACCGGAGCCAAACCCCUGGACCUUUGUGUUGGAGCGUCCAAAUAAUGAUGGUAACAGUAGCAGCAGUAAGAAGUACAAAUUAGAUUUAACUCUCCGCUUGUAAAUAUUUUCUUUUGUGUUGCACCACUCAGGUGAUGCCUUCUACACUCUACUUCUUUCCUUUAAAACAUUGAGGACAAUGUUUCAUUCUGGUUGGGGAGAGGGAAUAGUCGACAAUUGUGGAAUCUUGGUUAAGUUUUUACUGAUUUUUUGUUGUAGAAACUAACUGUUGCUAACUUUUUAUGUUGAAGAUGGCUGAAUAUGGAGUGUAGUGACUCUAGAAACGCAUCUUCAUUGUUUGAAAAAAAUUAAAAAAAAAAAUCAGACAUUUUCUUUUUCUUUAUUAAGUUUUGAUGUUCAUUUUUCUUCUUCUUUUUAAUUUCUCCUCUAUAAAUAUACAUUUUCAAAUUGUUGAGUCGAAGAUGGCUGAAUAUGGAGUGUAGUGCCUCUAGAAACGCAUCUUCUUAGUAAAAAAAAAAAUUUCUUUUUCUAUCAUAUUAAGUGUAACUUUUCUAAUUAGUUUUUAUACAUCCUUUUCACAUUUCUGCAUGCAUAUUUUCCUUUCAUGUUUAGGAUAGGUUGGGGGGUAUAACGUUGUUUAAAAAAAAACAAAAACAAAAAAAAAAAUUUGUGUGAUUUGUUUUAAUAUUGGAUGACAUGAUUAAUUUCAUAUUUUAGUAUUUGUAUUAUCUUUGGUCUUAAGUGAUGUUACACUAUGUUUGCUACUCUACAUGUUGAUGUCGGAGAUAAAUAUGAGUUGCUUGAAGGAAUGAACAUGUCAUAAUAAGUACCAAGUGAGUUUUUGAGCCUAUCAUUUUUCUUGGAGAGUAACCCUUUCCCACAUUUUUUAUACAGCUUAACAGUUUAUUAUUUUAUACACGAUCUCUAGAUUUCUUUUGAGUUAACCCUUAAAACAAAAUUUGUAAAAAAAAGAAGAAAAAAAUGUGUGUUGCUACAUUUGGAGGUCCAUCUAACUAGUAGAUAUGGAAGAUUAUUUAGAGCCCUAAAAGACGGUGGAAAGGUCAUCUUUGAUCCGUUUGAGUCUUUCUACCCAUCCCUUUUAUGAAAUAUCUAUUGUUAACCCUUUUGAGCCUUUUAAAAAAAAAUUAAAAAAAAAAAACCUUUUCUUUGUCAACUUAUCAUCUUGACCCACUCUGAUUUGGAGUAUUAUCCAAUAUCUUACAAGUUCCAUCACCUAUUUAUGUUUGAGAAAAAUGUAAAUAAAUAUUUUGUACAGUGAAGUUAUGCCCAACAAAAGCAAAAACAAAAAAACAAAAAAUUGUUAUUUAAAAAAAAAAAGAAAAAAAUAACAAUAAAAGGUGAAAUCCACCUUACAACUUCAAAAAAAAAAGUUCUCUAUAGUUUUCUCAAACAUACACUUUGUUUUCCUUAUUUCCCUUCUUUGUUAGUCAUGUCCCUAGCCUACGUUACGUCCUAAUAAAAAUCCUUCUUGAUUUUAGGGAACUAUAGUCUGAAGUAAAUUGGGUUGACUACCAUUUUUGUUUGACUUGAGAUCGUAUUAUUUCUAAACUGAGGGCAUAUUUCUUUCAUCUUGGUGAGAGCAUGUGAUAUCACUUCUUUAUUAUUUUCUCUCAAUUAUCAUUCAUUGGAAUAACUAUUUUUAUUGGGUUUAAUUUCUUUGUAAGAGUGUCACUACUUCCAGUGAGAUUUUGGGGUUUGACAUGUCAUUCUUGAAAGUAACUGUGACAAUCUACUAAGCUGAUUCAUGUGGAUGGUUGAUGUGGGCGUGAUGUUCCUUUAGACUGGAGAUAAUGCUUAUACUUUUAUUUGAUUACUAUCAUUAGUCUGAUUAAAUAAACACGAGUGUUUAAAAAAAAAUCAUUUUGAAUUUGAAUUUUAUUUUCGCUUUAUUUGCUAGGGACUAGCAAUAAGUUGGUUGGGGGGUGUGUUGAGUAUUAGAAAAUGUAUAUUUAUAAAGGAGAAAAUAGUCAUUUUACAUUUCAAGUCUUACUAACAACCCUUACUUUUAUGUAUUUAAGAUUCUUGUAAUUUAAUUAUGUGUGUUUGAUUUUAAUUAAGUAUUUUAUGUAUUUUAGGGGCAUCAUAGUCAUUUCACAAUAAACAAGAGAUCAAACGGCAAAACGGACAUCACUUUUGAACUCAGGACGGUCGAAAACCUUAGGAGGAGCAUAAAAGGAAAAAUGGCACUGUUCACAUGUACGAUACUAUUCACAUGUACGGUACUGUCUACGUUAUUGUUCACGACACUGUUUAUAUAGACGGAUCGAUGACGUGGCAUUGACCGAUGAUGUGGCAUUCACUAAUGAGGUGUCAUGAUCAUGUUGGACUAAAAUUCUUAUGUACUGUUGAUGGUGACGUGGCAGCAUAUUAGUGGACCAAAAAACGUGUAUAUGGUACAUGCAACACAUGGGAUUAUUUUCAAUCAAACCGCGUUACUGUUCAAACCGUGUUACUGUUCAAACCGCGUGGUCAAACCGCGUACUAUUCACGCAUAUUGUUGACUGAUGACAUGGCGCAAUCUUGAGCGUUCAAACUGUUUUCAAUCCGAUGGCCAUUAUUUACUCAAUGUAUCUAUAAAAAUAGGACCUCUCCCCCCUAAUUUGGAUCUCUGAAUCCAUUUUUGGACUCUAUUUUAUGUAAUUCCUUCUCCAUCUUGUAUUUUCUACGUAUUUUAAUAAAUUCUCAUUUUGCCCCUAGUUCAAUUAUGAGUGGCUAAUUUUCUUUCAAGUUUGGGUUGAAGGUGAAGUCUCAACAUGUGUCAUGGGCUUUAUUUGGUAAAUUUAUUUUCUCUUCCCCUCUUGUUUUUGUGGAUGUUUUGACUUUUCGUUGACAAAUAAUAAUAAUCUUGUCUAGUACCGCCCUGGUUUCACCGGCUCCCUAGUAUAAGAUUAUUAUUAUUUGGCACGAUAAGCCCUUAGCACCAUAUUGAUUAGAGCGUGGUUCAUGAGGUGUGGAUUCCCCCCUCAUGAUUUAAUUGGCAUUAAUAAGGAUUAUUUAGCCCAUGAUGCAUAUUGAUACGGAUCCAGAUACUCAAGUACGUCAUUUCAAUAGAUUUUCACUUCAAUUUAUUCUUGCCAUUUCAAUUCCAAUUUUAGGAUCAUUUAAGUCACUUUCACCACAAAAUCCAACCACUUCAUACAAAAUUAAUUCUACAUAUAACUAAAAUCCACCUCCUCGUGGGAUCGACACUCGUCACCAUUAGUCUAUUCUACAAUAGAUUCGUGCGCUUGCGAGUUCAAUAAAAUUUGCACAACACAUUACAACUAUAAUAUUCAUUGCUAAUAAAUUUACUUAGUAUAAUUGGUCUCAGUGAAAACUUCUCAAUGCGAUUUUAUGAGUUGCAAAUAAUGCAUUAUCAAUAUAAGCACAAAUAUAUUUUUCAAUAUACAAGACUAGGUUAUAGCUUAAUUUGCUCUUAAAAUCUUUUAAUAAUAACAAAAAAUAUUUAUAUAUUGUAACACACAAAACAAAAUGAAUGCUAGAUAAAAUUCUAGAUUUUAAAACUAGACAAAAGAUUAAUCAAAAAAUUAAAAAUUAGAAUUGGGUAGACUUACAACUUAUGGUUCAAUGUCGAAAUACCAACUAUUUGAUUUUGCUUGAAUAAAAAACAAAACGAUUAAAGACUGGUCCAUUAACCAUUUUACUAACAUUUUGUUGUGAUUGUUUUUCAUUUUAAUAUUUGUUCUUGUGUCUUUAAUCCAGUUUCAUGAAAUGUUAAUAACUAAUUAAAUUAUUUAUAAUUAGAAAUUUAAACUAUGGACAAUAUGAAAUAUUUUAAAAUUACUAGAGUCAGUUUCAAAUUUUACAAUUCAGCUGGGGUAUUUUUCAUAAAUAACAAAUAAAAUACAUUUUUUUAGUAUAAUUAUAAAAAAAAUUUAAAAGCCAGCAGGGGCAUGUGCCCCACUCGUCCCAUGCUGGCUCUGUCUCUGCAUGUAGCAACAUAUAAAUUCAGUUAAUGAGCCAUUAAAGUUGUUUAUCACUCAACCACAAGGAAUAUUAGUUCAUGAUUUUCAAAACGAAACUAAACAACAAAGUUUCAGCCGGCAAAUACAUUCUCAUGUCAAAGAAUAAAAAUAAAUCAAAAUAAGAAUAAGAAAGACUGAAUUCCAAUUGAUUCCGGCAAACUUCUCCACUGAUGCAGUCUUGAUUCUUGCUCUUGAAAUCUAUUUUUCCUUGUUUCUUUUCUAUUUAUGAUCUUGGUUGACGGCCGCCUUUUUUCUUUUGUACAUGUGCCUCUGUUAUAGUCCAAAAUUAGGGUAAACGGAAGUUCAGAGCGCGCAUCUUCCCAAUUAGGAAAUUGCAGAUUGCAAUCCGUUAAGUAUCUUGCGCGAAAUCUUCUCUGUCAUUGUUCCCGAAUUGCUACAUCACGGUUUUCUACAGCAAUAGCUACAGUAUAUGCACUGUUCCAAAUUUACUCCAAUUCUUCUAUAGUCGUAUUCUUUUGUCCUUUUUGCAAACCCAUUGCUACAACAUCCUUCCCAUGAAAAUUUAACUUCAGGUUACCUACAAUUAUGCAUAUGUUUUAAGGACACAAUUAUUAGAAAUCAAGCAAAUUUUAUUAAACUUAAACUAAAAUGAAUGUUAAUGUAAACUAUCAUUAAAUGCACUAAAACACAUCAAUUACCCUCUAAGUAAUCUUGAUUUUAAGUCUAAAAGUAUCAUGAUAAUCUUAUUUCAUAGAGUUUUCAAUACUCUAACUUCAAGUUGCACGAAUCUAUAAGGAUUCUUAUGAAUUCUUUGCUCGUUACAUUAGCUUUUAACACCAAAACAUCUUCAUGCAAGUAUAGUAUCCCUUCCUCAUCGUAUUAUGUCCAAAUGAUUGGAACUUGCUUGGUUCUUGCUCAUUUUGUCAAUGAAGCAUUGAAGAGAAUAUCAUGACUUGUUAUUGCAUACCUUUUGUAGUACUUCUAGGCUUUGUUAGAGUUAUUUACUAGAGUUGGCCCUCUUACAAUAACUCUAGCUACUGGCUCUUCAAAAAUCAUAUCACCAGUAUUCUUUUUUGCUGUAUGCACUGUUGAUCUGUCAUUGGAUAAGAACUGUCAAUAUACUUAUUCAAAUAAUAAUUUCUUACUAGAACUUCUACUUGUUUUUUUAAGUCGUGACACUGUGGUUUGGUGUGGCCAUGGGUGUUAUUCAUCAGCAUUAUCCUAUCUCUUAGGAAAUUUUGGCAAGUAAGGACUAAUGAAGGUAGGUUUUGGUUUUGGUUUAGUUGACCUUGUAUUUUGAGUUGGGUUAACUUGGAUCAUUAUAGUGAGGAUGGCUAUCAACUAGUUAUAUCAUUUCAAGUAGCUCUAUUUAGAGAGGGGUGGGGUUAAUUUCUUUUUACAUAGUAUGGGAGAUAAGAGUGGCCAAAAUCAAAUUUAGAUUGGAUUCGGAUCAAUUUGAUCAUAUAUUAAAUUUUUCGGAUUGACUAAAAAAACUCAUCUGAAUGUACUCGAACUUGAAUCUAAUAUGAAUAUAUUUGGAUAGGAUGAAUAAUUUGGCUUAAGUUAGAUUUGGAUCGGUUUGGUAAAUCUCAAAUUUAAUUUUAAUUUACAGGUCACUAUACUCAAUGGAUAAGACAUAAUUUGUAUAUCUCUGUAAUAAACAUUCAAUUUUGAUAUUCAACUACAUAGAUAGAAGAAAAAUAAGUCAUUUACAUUACAAUUGUGGUGCAUAUCACUGAAAAGUAUCAUAAUAAUUCAUAUUUUUCCAACCAAAAUGAAAAGAAACCAUAAUUUAAACAACAUAAUAAGCAAAUAGAAUUUCUAAAGAAAAGGAAAAAGAGUAGAUGUAAGCUAGAAAAAGAGAAAUCAUGUAUUAGAGAAGAAAAGAGCAUUUUUGCACAAAAACAACUAAUACCAAAACUAAUAAAAAAAUCUCAUAUUCAUUUUCCAAUUUUCUCAUAAGCUUACGCAAUUCUUCCUCUUCUACUCUUCAAAAUCAUUUGCCAAUUUUCUCAAUUUUCUCAUAAGGUGAUCUUUGGUCUUUUGAUGAGAAAAUUACUUGAGUAACUUACAACUGGUUAGGUUUGGGAUUUUGGGGAAAACAAGUUAGGUUUACACAUUACAAACUUCACUAGUCAAAUUGUCGAAUUACAUCCGAAUUAGAUUUGAUCCGAUUAUAAUCUCAUCGGAUUGGGUUGUUUCUAUUUAAUCAAAUUACAACAAUAAUCCAUAUUCAAUUUGAAUAUGUUUGGAUUGAAUCAAAUCCAAUCAAUCUAAAUCCAAUUCGAUGCUAACCCUUAUGGGAAUAAGUAGCCAUCCUUAUUAUGACCGCUCUACUCACUGAUGGUUUGUCAUGAAGCCUAACUAGUCCACUUAUUUUUUAGCUCUCCUUUCAUUUCGUUUUAACUCCACAAGUUACUCGUCUCUAACUCUUGCUGCUUUUUCCUCCUCGAUUUCAAUAUCCACCUUCACCUAGUCAUAAGCAGUUGAAUAAGAGUUUAUUAUUGGGUUCCUUAAGUUAUACCACAAUUGGCCUAUCUUUACUCCCUCUUUUAAUCCCUUCAAGGCCUGAAGAUGAUUGAAAGCUCCAUAGUCAAGGAUUGCUUGGUGAUAUCUCUUGAAAAAUCUCUUAGAGUUUGAUUUUCUUCCUACUCGAGCCUCAUUGGCUCUAUCAUGUCAUCCUCUGGUGUUAUUGCUCCUAAAAAAUGUUCAGCAAAGUCUCCAUGCAAUUGAUUAGAAGUUCUGAUGCUUCCCUAUGGCAAUUUGCGAUACCAAUCAUGUGCAUGCUAUUCUAAUGUCAAUGGAAACACUCGACACCACUGUAGUGGUGUCAAACCAUGUACUCUAGUCAUCUCAUUAAAUCGUUCUAUAUGCAUAAAGAGUCACUCUUUCUGGAAUAUUUGAGGUUUAAAACUAAUCCCUUGAUAUUGUUGUGCUCAUGAUUUUUGCUGAGAGUAAGAUUCAUUAUCCAUAAUUAUUCUCCAGCUCAGUGCUCUUUCAAUCCUAUACUUCUUCAAUAAUUCGUGCUAACCUAUGCAUCUUAUCUUCUAAUUUCCCAACGCGACUUGGGUUCUACACCCUUAUCUACUUGCAGUCAGCGUUCUGUUUAUUCCAUAGAUUUUCACCGAAGUACGUUUUGGUUGCUCUCCAAAAAAAUAAAAAAGAAAGAAAUCACCUAAUACUUUUGGGGCAAGGCAAGCUUCCAAAUAACAUUGCAAAUGAUUUGGUGAAAAAGCUUUCAUCUAUUCCGGUAAUUUAGAAGCACUUUAAUUCGAUUCUCUCUUAAGAGUCCUAUCACUUUAGGAUGAUUUUUAAGUAAAAUCCUUGUAUAUAUUAUAUUUUUGUUAAUAUAACAAACACUAAAUAUUUAUGAUCUGAAAGAUAGUUGUUGAAUGGAGAUCGUUUCACACAAAAAAAGUAUUUAAAAAGAAUGUGGUAUUGUAAUAUUAAAUAAUUUUUUGUAGUGAUAUAAGAGUAUCACACUAGUUUUUUUUUUGCAUUCCAAAAAAUUGAAAAUAAGAUCUAAGUAAUUUCAAGAAUAAAUUAGCAAUAUUAGGAACAAGUUUUACAAAAAGCUUCUGGGACAUGUUAUACAAAUUUGUUAUAUAAGAAAGUCUCUACUAGAUCUUCUUUCCACAUUACAAAAAUUAGAAAUGAGAUCUAAAUCGACCAAUUAUAAAUUUUAUAGUGAGUGGGUCCUAUAUGAAAACAAGGUUUUUUUUUAUUAUAGUGUAGUCAAUUAUCAGCCAUCUACCCUAAGUUUAUUUUAUAUUAAAAAAAUACUAGGAAGAAUUAAUUUGUUUAGUUUUUUACUUUAAUUUUAUAAUUUGUAUUAGUUGUCUAUUAAAAAGAUAGAAUUAUCCUUACUAAAUGACAAAAUAGAAACAAAUACAAAUAACAACUAUGGUCAUUUUGUAAGGGUAAUUCUAUCUUUUUGGCAUCGAAUUGCAUAUUAAACUAUUUUAAGUACUUAAAAUAAUAUAAGUUCUUUAUCAAAUAAAUAAAAUUUUAAACUAUGUAUUUACCAAACAUUUUAAAAUCACAGCUCCUCUACUACAUCUCCAAAUAAAUUCUUAAAAUCAUAAAUAACUAAAUUAAUGGGGUUUUAAAAGGACUCUCCGGAUUUUGCAUGAUUUCUUUAUAUAUAGGUGCUGGGUGAUCAUGUUGGUUCCUAUAGGUACCAUCAGCCACACUUUUUGUUAGUGGUGAAAAAACAAUUUUGGGUACAAUUUGUGAUUUGUAUAACGUGCGGUAUUAAACAUUUGAAACAUACACCGACAGUAAUCUAAUCAAUAAUUAAAAAAAAUUGUAUAAAAUACAUAUGUCGUAGGCAACUCAGAUCCUUUUCUUUAUAAUUCCAUAUCAUGUGAUUAUCAAAAAACUUCUUGAGAUUUUUAAAUUUUGUAAUUGCACUAUCCUUGAAUUAUCAAAAGACUCUUGAUAAUGUUCUUCUUCUUAAAGAUGCCCUUAAUCCGUAAAUGGUCCAAUAAUUAGUUCAUAAAACGAAUUUAUUACUUUAGACAAGUCUCAAAUAUGCAUACCUCUUAUAACUCCGUAUUGCAUAAUUCCUUACUUAAAUGCAUUUGUUUCCUUUCUCUAAAUUUUAGAAUGGCCUUGUCUACUAAAUUUCCUCUUUAAAUUUGACUGCCAACUAGGAAUUUCGCCAAAAUUUCCACCCCAUCUUACUCUCUGAAAUAUGUCUUCCACGUUACUAUAGCAAAUUUUACAUCUAGGAUACUGAAACAUUUUUUUUUUUUCAAUUUUCAAAUAUUUAGCUGUUGACAAUAGGUCUUUAGCUGCUCACCAAGAGAAAAUUUUCAUCUAAAACUUUUUUUGAUAAGGCAAGCCUCCAAAUAACAUCCAAAUGGUUUGGACAUUCAGUUCUACUCAAAAUUCAGAUUAAUUCACACAUAUUUAGAUUUUAGACAAGAAACAUAUGCCACCUAAAUAUUUAUGACUUAAAAUUAUUUAAUAAUCAUGGCACAUUUAACCUAUCUAAACAUGAAAUCUUGUGGAGACUUAUGUUUAAGCAGGAGGAUAACGUGAGAAAAUUGACACAUUAAUUUACAAUUUGUACGCCAACUGAAUAAUUUUUGUUUGUUUUUUGUUUUUGAUAAUAAAACAAGCCUCGCAAGAGCUUAGGUUUUUAGCCAACUGAAUAAAUUUCCCCACUCAAAUUAGAAACAAUAAAAUCUAAUAAUUAUGUUAUGAGCCCAUCAGACAAAUAGUGAGACAUCAUAUUGUUAAUACCUACUCGUAAAAUUAACGGGAUAACGCGGUUUAUACGGACAGAUUAUCAAGGUAUUGUUAAUACCUUCUGUACCGGUAAUUCUUUUUUUCUUCUUUUUCAACCCCAAAUAAUCAAAAGCUCUCCAAUGGCUUUUGUAUCCACAACUCGUCCAUUUCAUUUUACUUCAAUUUCAGUAUCAGCUCUUAGAUGUAAUUUCUCAUCUUCGUUCCCUCAUACCAGAAAACCCACAUCUUCAAUUUCGGAAAAUGAACCCUCAGAUCCGACUACAACAGCUAAACUGAAGGAGUCGCUACGACUGACAGUCAAAGACGGAGCCUCAAUCGAAAAAUUUCUUAAAGAAAGGUGAAAAUCAUCAGGUCAAGGUGAUAUUAAUCUUAUUACUCCUAAUGAAGCCUUGUGUAUCUUUGAUUACAUGCUCCGUAUGCACCCUUCUCCGCCUCCGGUUUCUUCCUUCAAUAUUUUGUUUGGUUGUCUUGCUAAGAAUAAACAUUAUGAUACUGUCCUUUCACUCUUCAAGAGACUCAAUUCAACUGGGUUGUUUCCAGAUCUUUAUACUCACAGUAUUUUGAUUAACUGGUAGAGUUUCUCAUGGUUUUGUUGUUCUUGGGAGAAUCAUCAGGUCUUGUUUUACUCCAGAUGCUGUGACCUUUACUUCUUUGAUUAAAGGUUUGUGUGCGGAUAGUAGAAUCAUGGAGGCCGCCGCAUUGUUUACAAAACUUAGAGUGUUUGGUUGUGAGCCUGAUGUUUUUACAUACAAUACGUUGAUUAAUGGAUUGUGUCGAACUGGCCAUACAAUUGUUGCUCUAAAUUUAUUUGAAGAGAUGGCUAAUGGAAAUGGGGAAUUUGGUGUCGUUUGUAAGCCAGACACUGUUACAUACAACACUAUCAUCGAUGGUGUUUGUAAGGAAGGUUUCGUGGACAAGGCCAUGGAACUGUUUCUGCAGAUGAAGGAUGAGAAUAUUAACCCCAAUGUGGUUACUUAUAACUCUUUGAUUCACUAUUUCUCUCAUGCUGAUGAUUGGAAUGAGGCUAAACGUUUGUUUAUUAAGAUGAUGGACCAAGGUGUGCACCCUAAUGUUGUGACUUUCAGUGUGAUCGUGGAUGAGCUCUGCAAGAAUGGGAAGAUGGAAGAAGCAAGUAGGUUGUUGGACCUGAUGAUUCAGAUUGGUGUGCAUCCAAACACUUUUGUCUAUAACACAUUAAUGGAUGGGUUUUGCUUGACGGGUAGAGUUAAUCGUGCAAAGGAACUAUUUGUUUCUAUGGAGAGUAACGGGUGCAUGCAUGAUGUUGUUAGUUACACCACAUUAAUAAAUGGGUACUGCAAGACUAAGGAUGUAGAGGAAGCUUUAAAUCUUUAUAGGAAAAUGCUGUCUAAAGGAAUUAGGCCAACAGUUGUUACAUAUAGCACCUUGUUUCUUGGCCUUUUUGAAGUACACCAGGUUGAGCAUGCUUUAAAACUGUUUGAUGAGAUGCAGCAUAAUGAUGUAGCAGCCGAUACAUAUAUAUACAAUACCUUUAUUGACGGGCUCUGCAAGAAUGGUUUUGUUCUAGAGGCACUGGAAUUAUUCUGUGCUAUAGGAAAUAGCAAGUAUGAACUUGAUAUCAUAUCCUACAGCUGCCUCAUUGAUGGAUUGUGUAAAAUAGGCAAACUGGAAACUGCUUGGGAACUGUUUCAAAGUUUGUCUCGUGUAGGCCUAUUGCCAAAUGUUGUAACAUAUAACAUCAUGAUCCAUGGGCUUUGUAAUGAUGGGCAAAUGGACAAGGCACAUGAUUUGUUUCUUGAUAUGGAAGCAAAAGGUGUGGAACCCGAUUGUGUCAUAUUUAAUACGAUUAUGCUGGGUUUCAUCCGCAAUAAUGAGACAUCAAAAGUUAUUGAACUCCUUCAGCGAAUGGAUAAUAGAAAUGUAAUGCCAGACGCAUCUAUACUUUCAAUUGUUGUGGACUUGCUUGUAAAGAAUGAAAUUAGCUUAAACUCGAUUCCACAAUUCAAGAGUCAAUGAGUUUAAUGCUGAUUACUUGCAUGUUUUUUUCUGCCUAAAAUCUGGAUCUGGAGAAUCCCAUUCUUAUUACAACAUGUAAAGGAGUGUUGUCUAAUGUUGGCAUGUUCCUAGGUUCUGUCCAUGGAUUCUGUUUGCAGACAUGGCUAACUUCUUGUUCAACAGAUAAGUUUUAAAGUCUUUGAACUUAAUGUUGUAAAAUAACUUUUUUAUUAUUCAAUUCAUGAGUUUUUCUUCUAUAGCACAUCCUUCUCAUUAGCUGGAAGUGCAAAUUUUUUAGGCUUUUCCUGUAUGGCCUCUUUUUCUGUUCUAAAUAAAAUGGCAUUUUAUUUCCCUCCUGUGAGGGUACAACGUUUAUGUUUAAACUUUCUGUUAGUUAAAUUGGUUGUCUUUGAUAUAGGGAACUUCCAGUUGAACUGAUUUGUAAUUCGAGUAUAUGAGAUUACCAACUGUAAUGGGAAUUGAUGCCAAAUUAAUUAUGUCAUCAGGUUUUCCAAUCAGUGUUCAUCAUUUAUUUCUGUUAACAAUUAAUAGCACAGCUUGUCUUCGCAGCUUCAUUGGUUCCUCUCAAAAAAGUAAUGCCAGAUGCAUCUAUAGUUUCAAUCGUUGUGGACUUGUAAAGAAUGAAAUUAGUCUGAACUCACUUCCGUCAUUUCCUGUUCAAGAGCAGCAGGGGGAAGUUGAUGAGUCAAAUGUCAAGUUGUUGGAGCAUGUGCUUUCAGCCUAAAACCCUGAUCUGCAGCAUCUCAAUCAUGUUACAAAAGGACAUGUCGCCUGGUGACACCAUGUUCUCUACAGCGCUGUUAAUGGAUCCUGAUUGUUCUUGUGAUCUGGAGAGUCUCAUUCAUAAUACAGAUCUUGAUCAGGACGAGCUAGCAUAUGUGAUCACCAACUCUACAUGGUUGUUGAUGCCAAAUUAAAUAUGGUAUCAUGUUUUUCAACUUGUUAUUUUCUAUAGUCCUUCCUUUGAAUGGCCACAAGAAACUGUAAAAUCACCCUUUGUCUUGUUCCCUCUUAAUGAUCGAUCACUUUGGGAGCUAAUGAAUUAGUUGCACCUUGUCACUUUAUUGGUGCUUGAUUGUCAUUUGUACUUUGAAUUCACAGCAUAUUUUACCCUUGAUGUACUCUUUCCAUAAUCACCUUUGAGGGCUGCUAGUAUGUAUAAUUGAAAAACCUUAUAUAAAUUCUAAGCAUUUUUAUUUAACUUGUUGUAAACCUCCAGUGUAUGUCUCUUCUGUGAAAUGAUUCAUACUCUAUGCUGCUAGGACCUAGGCUUAUGACUCUUCUGUGAAAUGAUUUACCCUCACCUGCACACAGACAUUUAUCCCAAUCAAGAAAUCUUCAAACAAUGUGAAAAAAAUUGCUUGAAACACGACGCAGACUUAACCGAUUAAAAUGUCCCUACUGUGAGGAAGGAUGCUAUACAACUGACUCGGAAAAUGUAAAAUGGAUAACGUACGCCCAAGAUGAUCAACUAGAAACACAAUUCAAAACUCGGGCUGCUUUUGGCUGCCCGGCCUUCAGAAGUCAAUAUUUAUAUGAACUUUUGAGGAGAAAUUAUAUGAACUUUUGAGGAGAAAUUAUACUAAGGGUUCAGAAGUCAAUAUUUAUAUGAACUUCAGAAGUCAAUAUUUGGCUGCCCGGCCUUCAGAAGUCAAUAUUUAAAAACUUGGUGAAAUUACCGAUUAAAAUGUCCCUACUGUGAGGAAGGAUGCUAUACAACUGACUCGGAAAAUGUAAAAUGGAUAACGUACGCCCAAGAUGAUCAACCAGAAAGUGAGAGAUUAGGAUCACCAGUCAGUCAGAUUUGGAUAGAAAGUGAGAGAUUGCUAUGCCGUGCCAUUGCUUCAAUCCUAAAUGCUUUCAUCUCCCUGAAAAGUAUACAAAUGUAGGGGUUAAAACAGAAUAGAUGAAACCGUAUUGAGGAACUCAACUGAGACAGAUGAUAAAUGAAAACUAACCAACCUUCACGCAAAACUCGUACAUCUCCCUUUAAGAGCUGACUUUCUGAGAAGAGAUCACCACAAUCGUUCACAUCAAAAGUCUCCACUUGAAAAUUUUAUAACCAUAGUACUCAUUCCAUUCAAACCAGAUCCUUGAGAUCAGUUCCUUCUUCAGGCAAGUGGCAUGAUCUUCCUCUUUAGGAGACUCAGCAGCAACCAGUCUAUAUGCACAAACUUUCUUUGUUUGGCCUGGCCGGAAAGCCCUGCUGAUUGCCUGGCGGCUCACUGAUGGAUUAAAGAGAACAUCCAGAAUAAUGAUUCAAAUUUUUGUGGAAUUACUUGUAAAGAAUGAAAUUGGUUUAAACUCGAUUCCACAAUUCAAGAGACAAAACUAAGCAGACGGGUUGAAUCUUUGAUUGAGUAGCAUGUCUCUUCUGCUUUAAAAGCAGAUCUGGAGAAUCCCAUUCUUAUUACAACGUGUGAAGGAGUGUUGUGUAUUGUUGGCAUGUUCCCAGGUUCUGUUCAUGGAUUCUGUUUGCAGACAUGGCCGACUCUUUGUUUCAUCGGAUAAGUUUCAAAUAAUUCUGGCAAAUUUUUGUUGUAAAAUUACUUUUUUAUCAUUUAAUCCAUAUGCCUCUUUCUCAUUACCUGCAAGUGCAAAAUUUUUAGGCUCGUCCUAUUAGACCUCUUUUUCUUCUCUAAAUAGAUAAAACGGCAUUUCAUUUUUCUCUUGCGAGGGUGCAGGUUUAUGCUGAAACUUUCGGUUAGUUAAAUUGAUUGUCUUUGAUAUUGGAACUUGUAGUUGAACUAGUUUGCAUUUAGAAUAUAUGAGAUUACCAACUGUAACGGGAAUUGGUGCCGAAUUGAUUAUGUUAUCAGGUUUUUCAGUCUGUGCUCAUCUUUUAUUUCUGUUAAUAAUUAAUAGCACAGCUUGUCUUCUCUGCUUCUUUGGUUCCUGUCUAUUGUCAAAUAUAAACUUGUAGAGACAUUUUGUUUUGGCAUGGCACAUGCUAGAUUUUGUUUUUGGUUUGAAUGAUACUACACAUCUAAGUGAUUGUCCAGAUUUUUUUUCAUUCCUAGUGACAUGGCACUCAAUUGAAUGGUGACUCGUGAAUCAUGAUUGUGUGUGUUGGUCUUUGUUAUACUACGUGUUGGCAAGACAAAGUCUUUUGAAACUGCCAAACUUUUCUAUAUGAAUAUUGAAGACAAUAUGAUAAGAUAAAAUUAAUCAAAAACAUAUAUACUUGACAGGGCUGGAACGUCUGUUAUUAGUCCUCGCCUUCCAUUCUUGUUUCAUAUUCUUCUGCUAACAAAUCUUGAUCAUGAUAGUCUUCUCUGUUAUUAAUCCUUUUUUUUUUUUUUUUGGCUUUUGGAUUUUGUUUCCUUUAUAUAUAUAUAUAUAUAUAUAUAUAUAUAUAUAUUGUAUACAGUUAUUAGCAUCGACAACUUGAGCUUGCAGUCUUGUGAGUUUAGAGCCUACCAAAGUAAGCAUACACAUGACAAUGAAGAAUUGAAGAUUGUGAACGGUUUACUUGUGCGGCUAUGUUAGAAAAAUUUGACUGAUCGUGAAGAUAUUUAGAGAUCGUCCAUCUUGGUACUGCUAUUGUUGGAGCCUUGAAGUGUCAACUUCUCAUCGUUGCCUACAGUUGCCUCAUUGAUGAAUUGUAGGCAAACUGAAAAUUGCUUGGGAACUGUUUCAAAGUUUGCCCCGUACAGGCCUAAUGCAAAAUGUUGUAACAUAUAACAUCAUGAUUCAUGGGCUUUGUGAUGAUGGGGCAAAUGGAUAAGACACAUGAUUUAUUUCUUGAUAGACCAUUCUCAGGGCACAAAGGGUGUGGUGCCCAAUUGUGCCAUAUUUACUAUGCUUAUGCGAAAGAAUGAGACAUCAAAAUUUUCAUCACUCAAUGGAUAAAAGAAAUGUAAUGCCAGCUGCAUCUAUAGUUUCAAUUGGUGUGCGCUUACUGGUUAAGAAUGAAAUUAGUUUAAACUUGAUGCCAGAAUUCAAGAGACGGUUAAUUAGAUGAGUUGAAUGUUGAUUUAGUAGCCUUGAAGUUUUGCAAAUGUUUCCUGAUGGAUAAAUUGAACUUGUAUGCACACAUGUAAACUAAAAGAAAAAUUAUUUUAAUAGAAAACGUGCUUUAAGCAUGUCCUUCGGCAUGAGGUAAUACUAUAAAGUUUUUUUUUAAGUAAGGUUAUAAAUUCUAGCAAUUGAGUCUCAAUUUGAUAUUAUAUUCAUCUGGUAUAGGGUAGAAUAUUAAUUUUUUCAAUUAUAAAAUUUACUAUCUAAUAGAUGAACAACACUUAACAGUUGAGAAUGAAAUGGAGACUCAAUUGUUGGGAGUCCAAUCACUUUUUUCUCUUUUAACUUGCUAUUUUUGUUGUCCGAAAUUAUCUGAAGUUCCAUGCUUGCUCCAAUAGAACAAAUAAGAUAGGUUAUGAUCAACUUUUUUUUUUUCCAAAUAAAGGAACCACCUGCAUCGAUACUCCAUAAGCAAGUUUUUUCUUUUGACUGCCCCUUAUAUUUGUCACACUCCUUGUACUAGUGCCCAAUGAAACCACAACAGAAGCAAAAAUAUGGCAAUCUCUCAUAUACUACUGUAAUUGGAACAUCGUCUUCACCUUCAAGUUCUAAAUAACCAAUUUUCUUUAGUGGUUGUGUGAUAUCAAUUGAGAUACUUACUCUGGCAUACUAACCAAUGCACUCUCCUUCCACGUCCACAUCAACUUCUUCAACUAUACCAAUUGCCUCUCCCAAUGCUUUGAUUAUUUGCUGGUCUAUACACCCAACUGGGACAUUAUGAAGUUGUACCCAAAGGCAGCAUGAGUAAAUGAUUGUUUUGUUAUUUCCCCAAUUCCACUUGCCUCUUUUAGAACUAUUAGAGCUCGUUCAAAAUGCCACUGCCCACUUGAUAAAAUUCUCAUCUUAUCAACUUCAAAGGCAAAUUUAACUUAAAAAUCUUACUCCCCAGAUUUUCAAUUUCACCUAUUCUACUAUUCUGCAUACUUGUUGUAAUGCUCACUUGAGACCCUCUCUAGUAACUCCUCUUAGAUGUAAGACUUUGCCCAGAAAACAGCCCUCAACUAGCUCUCUCUCAUUCCCUUUCAUGACAUUACCAACAACUUCUUUACUCUAUUUUCCUUCUUCUAAUAUAAUAACUUUACACUUGCAAAUUAGUUCUUCUGUUUUCAUUAGGCACUAAAAUAUAAAUCCAUUGUGAUAACUCUUGAGUAUCUACCACUUCCUCUGUAAUUAAGACUCAACAACUCAAAUGAAAAACUUAAAAGUAAAAGAGACACCCAACUCGUGAGCAACUUUCGCAAUCUUAUGGGCUACUACCAUUUCAUUCUAGAUUCUCGCUCAUAGGGGGAGAACCUGUGAAGAAAGACUUCUACAGGUAGGAGACCGCUUACACAGUAGAUUAUUUAUAUUUCUUUGGACUAACUUUUUACUUUAUCAAAGACAAAAACAACAUAAACAAAGACAGAAGAUUAACAAAAGCAUCAAUUGCCAAAGAGUAGAGAGUAUUAUUAUAUUUUAGGAACAUAGGUUAUGACCAACUUAAAAGAAGCAGUUAGGGCUUGUUCAGUACUGUUUUAAAAGCCUUAUUUUCAUUUUUGUUUUGGGAGUACAAAUAUAAUACAUAUUUAGUGGGUUGAAUCCAAAAAUUAAAUCAUAAAAAAGAAUUGAUAUUCACUUUUACAGUUAUAAAAUUAAGAACCUAUUGAACAUGUUCUCAAACAAAUUACAAAUUAAAUUAAAACAUAAACCCCAAAAUAAAAUCUAAAAAGUUAUCUUCCUCUCCUAAAAUCUUAUCUCCUCCCUCUCGUUAUCUCUUCACAACUCUUCCUUCUUCAUGGUAGAUACUUCUCCUCUAACCACAACCCACCUGAACUGUGCACCGAUCUCUCUCUCCCCAUCCCCUUUAUCUAGGUCUACUUCACAGUUCUCUUCCUCUCAGUGGCUGUUACUUGUUCAUCAACCGCAAUCCAUCGUCGUAAGGUACUACGUCGGAAUAUUUUACCAAAAACAUGUCAAGACAAAGUGAUGUCUAUCAUGGUUUAUUACUGCAAGUGCAUUAUUUUCUUUGUACUAAAGUGAAUCUUUGAUGUAUUUAUUAAAUUUGGUGGAGCAAUCUUAGUUAAUUUUGAUGAUUUAUAUAUGCAUUUAAUUUCAUUUUUAAUAAUUCAUGUGCAGGAAAUAUGGAUUCUUGGCUUUGCUUGGACUGAUGGUUUGGGCAAUUUCAUUUGGAAUCAAUCAACUUCGAGGAUAAACACUUGUAGUUCAUCCUUUGUUCUCUAAUUUUGUUCAUGGGACUUGCUUUUCUUCCAUCCAACUUUUUUGUUCUCUAUUUCUAUGGUAGCAGUUUUAUGUUUUGUGUUGGUGGGAAACUUCAUGCUGCAAUUUUGUCAAAUUCUGUUGACAUACCCUAAUCAGUAAUGACUUUGCUGCAUGGCGAAAGCAUAAGCUCAUAGUUGACAUUGUUGUCAUUAGAGCUUGUUUCCAUAAAAAAAAAGUGUAAUUUGAAAGUACAUUGUACACUAUUGAAUUUGAAUUAUCUCCAACAAGUGUUGAUGCAUGAUGUCCAUCAUGUAAUUUUUUUAUAAUUAUUUUGUUUAACUUAUAUGUGUUGUAAUAUAUAGCUUAAUUAUAGUGUAAAAACAAUGGCAAUGUAAUUUUUUUAUUAAUGCUAAUACUAAAACUUUAUCAUCAUGCAAUGUUUUAUAAUUAUUUUGAUUAAAUUAUUUAUGGUAUAUUUUUGUAUUAAUUAAAUAAACAAUUAGUUUUUAUUAAAAAAAUUAUGACUUACAUGUUUAGUAAAAAUUGUUCAUGAAAAUAGUAUUACCGAACACAUUUUCUCUGUGUUUAUCUUUUUCAAUUGUGUUUACGGAACACAUGUUACUGUUUUCAAUUUAGAAAAUACAAGAUAUAGAAAAUGAUAUUAGAUGUCUAUUUAAUUCAAAAUGCAGCAACUGCAAAACACUAUUUUUACUCUCAUUUUUCUUUUUAGAAAAUACUAAUUUAGAAACAAUACCAAACAAGAACUUAGUUUUAGUACGAAUAAUGUUGUGUUAGUUUUAUAGGUUUACAUGCACCCUUAGAUUUAUUAGAAGUAUCAGCCCAACCCCCUAGUUACUGUUGACUAAUAUCGAACCCGCUGCCCGAUGUUGACUCUUGAAAGUAACUAUAACAUCUAUAUUGUAAUCUCACUUUAUUAACUAAUAAAUUUUAAAAAUAUAAACAGAUCAAUAAUAACAAAAUAAUUAAAGUUGAAAUCCAAGAAAUUACACAAAAAACCACACCUAAACCAAACCUGAAAACCAAAAUGCAUAAAAUUUCAUUAAUUUAGGUUGUGACAAUGAGUCGUCUACAUUAUAUGAUGAAGGAACAACUUCUAUCAUUUUACCAAGUUAUUAAUACUAUGUUUACGUACUAGAGUGGGCCUGAGAAGUAUAGAUUCCUCACACACUAGAGUUUACUUGCAUAUUCUAAGAGGUGUGGGAAUCUCACUCCGUUGAUCCCACCCAAUUUUGAAGUAGGGAGUGUGAUUUCCACUCCCACAAGGGAAGGUCCACUCCCACAACUUUAUUUUUUACCUUUCUUUUAUUAAAUUUAAUACAAUCAUAUUUAGUAAAAUAAAACAAAUAACAUCAUAUUUAUUUAAUAAAUAUUAUUAUAUUAUUUUAUAAAAUUCUAUUUAUUAAAAAGAAUAAUAUUAAUCUUAUUUAGAUAAAGUUAUUAUUAUAUUUAUUUAAAAAUAAUAGCAUUAUAUUUAUUUAAUAUUAAUAAUUAAUAUUAAUAAAUAGUUUAUUCUAAGAAAAUAUUUAUUUUGCACUAUAUUAUUAAUAAGAGAUAUUAUCAUUUUUCCACCAAAAUUAUUCUGAUACAUCAUGUUAGUAGCACGGUUUGGUAAAAACAUCAUUUUACCACCAAACGUUUAAAUUGUUAGUAUUUUUCCACAAUUCCGUUAAAACUCAGUUAAUAUUUAAUGGAAAAUGCAUAAAAAGUCAAUUUUACCCCUGGAGCAUAAAAGAUAAUUUUACCCUUUAAAAAGGAAGAACGACAAAAGAUGAUUUAAUUACAAAAUUACCCCCAAAAGACGACAAGACAAUUUUACCCUUUAAAAAGGGAGAACAACAAAAGACGAUUUAAUUACAAAAUUACCCCCAAAAGACGACACUGCUGCGAGAGUGAGAGAGAUAUGGGUCAGUGACAGUAAGCGAGAGAGGACGAAGAUGGAACAAGAAACGAGAGAGAGGGGGGUUGAUUUCGAUUUUUAGGGCUUCCAUAUCCAAAUUGCUUGUUUUUUUACAAUUGCAAAACACAACGUUUUGCCUUCGCAUGAGAUGUCCAAAAUGCCCUUAUGAUGUCAACAUAAUUUUUAUUUAGUUAACGGAAUGGUGGGAAAAUACUAACAGUAUAAAUGUUUGGUGGUAAAAUGAUGUUUUUAUAAAAUCGUAGUACUGAAAUGAUGUAUCAGAAUAACUUUGGUGGGAAAAUGAUAAUAUCCCUAUUAAUAAUAAUGUUUUAUUUGUGUUGCUCUUAUCAAUAAUUUUUAAUUUAAAUAAUUAAAAUUAAAACUAAUAAAAAUUUAUGAUUUACAUAAUUAAUAAUAUUAAUAAUUAUUGUUAAUUUACAAAUAUAGUGAAAUAAUAUAUUUUAUUUCAAAUAUAUUUUUUUAUUAAUUUUGUAAUUAAAAGGUACAAUUCUUUAAAUAAGUGUAAAACCGUAAUUUGAAACCAUUUACUCCCUUCUCAUUCUAGUGAGAGGAAACAACUUGCUCCCACUCCACACUCUUAAUCACAAGAUUCUCACUUCUCAAUAUUCCCACUAUAAUUUAAAAUGUAAACACCGUUUAAAACAUCAAAUAAAAUUCUCAAUUAAGUAAACCAUAAUGUGAUUGCAUAUAAAAAAAAAUUAAUAAUAUUAAUUUUCAUAAGAAUUUAUGCUCGUAGUAUUACUUUACUUUUUAUUAACCGUUGCUUCAACUUAUGGUAGAUUGUAACAUAUGCACUUUAAUUUUCUUAAUUAAGUGUAUUAUUUAAUUUUUCUCAUUCGAUGUUAAUUUUAAAUUUGUUUUGACAUAAAAUUGAGACAAUUCGAAUACGAUUCAAUGGCCGUGUAGCUGGAUUUUAUUUCAACAUGGGUCAGGCAUUAGCUUAGUUAGUAGUAAUCUUUAAAAAAAAAAGCUAGUUUAUAUAAAUGGAAAAGGGGGAGCUGAUUUCCAAAAGAGGAAAGAAAGAGGGGCACGCGAGAGAAAAUGAGAGAGAGAGAGAGAGAAGUUGACCCGUUUAGCCCGACCCGACCCGACCCACAAGACCGACCCGGCUCCAACUCCCGUUUCUGGCCACCAUUCCAAUCAAGCUUGGUACCAAUCUGAAGCUUGAGCGACGCUGGCCAUAUCCCCGCUGUCAUCGUCACCGAAAAACAGCCACAACGCCGGUGAUCAUCGUCAAUCUCGCUGGAAUUAGGUUGCACCACCGGCUGGGUUCGACUCCUCACAUCACCAGCUUUCAUUUCCGACUAACCCCGCCACCUGAAACCUCUGUUUUGGCCCUGAAUGACCACCGGAAAGCUCACGGCUUUGGGAGCACGAUCCGCCGCCAUCUCCGCGUGUGGGAGGUCACCGUCGACGCCAUUGGGCUCACCGAGGUUAGAACUAUCAUACUUGAGCUUUCCGUCGCCGUUGACUGAAGUCCGGUCACCGUUGAGCAGUGGGGGCAAUUUGGUAAUUUCACAAGACUUUAAGGUGGAUUUUUAAUUUGGUAAUUUUAGGUUAGGGCAGUGAGGUAAUUUAAGACUUUGAGGGUAAUUCGGUAAUUUAAGUUAUUAAGAGCAUUUUGGUAAUUUCGCACUUUGAGGGUAAUUUCUUAAAUUCAAAACUUGUGAUUAAUUUUGUUAUCCGAAUUGAGGACAAUUUGGUAGUUUAAGAUAUUGAAGAUGAUUCGAUAAAUUAUGAUUCCGAUGGUACUUCGGUAAAUUUCGGUGUCAGGGGCAUUUUGGUAAUUUUUGGACAUAAGGGUAAUUUUGAAAUUUUAUGUAUCCGGGAGUUUGGUUUUGAGCUUUAUUUCAUACUGUUAGUCGUAUUUCAUGAUACAGAUAAUAAUUAUGUCGUUUAUUUAAUUAGGAGGACUCGCGAGCAAAAAUCAACCAGCGGACGUUAGUGAUACCGAGUCUGGACAUCGUCACUGUGAGUGGAAUAUACAAAACUUAUUUUCAUGGUAUAUUCUGAUUUUACCAUACAGUACAACAUGUUUUGAUAAUAAGUAUUUGAUGCUUUGAUUUAAUGAUUUUCUAGAAAUUUGAUUUUCAUUCUACGUGCUGAUAUUUAUUAUUAUUGAAAAUGAGUUUGAUUAAUGAUUUUAUUAUCAUUUUUUUUGAGUAAAUGCAUGAUAUUAGAAUUGAGUGGAUUUGAGAUAUGUUGAAUAAAAAGGAAAUGGGAUUUUAUAUGUGAUUAUAUGUUUGCGUGCAUGUGCAUAAAAGAUUGUUUGGAAAAUCAUUGGAAGUACCUUUCCCCUUUUAGAUACAGAGAUACAUAUAAUAUGAGAUGAAUACAGUGAUACAGAUGAUAUGAGAUGAGAGGUUUUUGGGGCCCGUCUGAACACACACAAAGACUUUGGGCCGUGUGUUUGGGCGCUUUUGCCUUUUGGGGGCUUAUGCAUACAGUAUGAUGAUUACAUAAAUACAGAUGUUGAGAUACAUGAGAUAUGAGAUGACAUUUUCCUAUAUAUCCAUUGUAACUCCAGGGCAUGAUGGUUCCCUGAUUGUCCGUCCGUUGAGGUCCGAAUAUGAUGAGAUUAUUCCGCUGGAUACUUGUUUGAUGAUAGUUUUUUGUAUCUAGUAUUUGAUAUUAUAAGUAUUAUGAUUUCAUUGAUUUUAUGCAGAUUUAUGUAAUAUUGUUAUUUCAGUGCAUGAAUUAAAUUAAAUAAGUUUAUGUAAGUUCUUAUGAUAUUUUGAUGAAAUUAACUUGGAAAAGAUUAAAUCAUUUUAAAUAAAUUUAUUUUUCCAAAAACUACUAUCCACUCACUGAGCUCACUGAGUUUUAUAUUCACCCCGUUUUUAUUAUAUUUUUCCUCCUAUAGGAAAUUUGCAGGUACAUCAGUCGACCCAGCAACGAUAGUUAGAUUGAAAUUAUGGCCACGUGAUGGUGUUAGAAAUCAUAGAUGUUUUGUUGGGACAUGUUGAAUUGUAUAAUUUAUUACUUAUUUGUGAUUAAGGAUAAAUCAUUAUAUUCUUGACAUUAUAUGAUUGAAGGAUACUGAUAUUUAAAUUGAGGAAGUUGGUUGUGGAUGUUGAUUAAAUAUUGUAUUAUUUUUUGGAGUAUUAAUUGUAUAAAUUGUAGGUUUGGGGAUGUCAUAAUUAUAUAGAAAACUGUCGAAUUUUUUGUAAAAUUCUUAGAUAUCAGAAUUAUUAUUAGUUUGAUUAGGCGAGAUUAGAUAGACUCGUCCUGGGGAUUCGGGGCGGGUCGUUUCAUAGAUAUUAAGAGAACAAUAAUAAUAUAGCUAUAAAUGGUUGCAUACUAUCAAUCAACUUAACACUAUAAUUACCAACAAAUCCUUAAUACUAUAAAUAAUUAAAUUAUUGGGGUUUUAAAAUAACUCUCCAAACUUUGCAUGAUUUCUUUAUAUGUAGGUGCCAUGGUUCCUAUAAGUAAUAUCAGCCACACUUUUUGUUAUUGUUAAAACAAAUUUAUAAGUACAAUUUGUGAAUUUGUACAAAAUGUGGUAUUAUACAUUUGAAGCAUGAACCGAGAAGACAAUGUUGUGUCACUAAUAAAGAAAAAAAAAUUGUAUAAAAUACAGAUGUUGUAGUGUAACUUGUAUUCUUUUUAUUUAUAAUUGUACCUAUCAUGUGAUUAUAAAAAAAACUGAGAUUUUAAAAUUUUGUAAUUGCACUAUUUUUGGAUUAUCAGAAGGCUUCCUCUCCUUAGUGAUGCCCUUAAUCCAUAAAUGGUCCAAAAAAUAAUUCAUGAAAUGAAUUUAUUAUUUUAGAUAAGUUUCAAGUACGCAUACCUUUACUAGCUCCAUAUUGCAUAACUCCUCAUUUCAAUCAAUGGAUACAUUUGUUUACUUUUUCUUUCUUGUAAAUUUUUGAAUGGCCACAAUUCUAUAGAUAAUUAAUUAAGUGUUAUUGUUAUCAUUAUUUUGUAGAUUUAUAUGUGAGGUGGGGACGUUGGGGGGCAUGUAUCUCAAUAUAGCAGAGGGCCAUAAUAUUUAUUCUUUAAGAGGAACCACAACCAACAUCAAUGCUUUAAGUUCCAUUCCAUGUUCCUUCUAUGCACCAGAUUGCAUAAACAACAUUGAUUAUCCAAGGUCAAAGUCUCUCAAAGACUCUAGUUACAAUACAAAGCAUGGGUUAGCGGCCAAAAUUUUCUUGCAAUGAAAGGCUCGUAAACUGAUGAUAGCUGUUGGAUGGUUUUGGGCCCCAAUGGUUUUAAUAUUAUUCUCUUAAAAACAUAUAUGUUGAUUAGAGACGAGAGGAAAAAUAUAAUCUGAUUCAGCAAGCUGCAGAGGAAAGAGCACGCAGUGGAGUUCAGAUUUUGAAUUCUCUUGUUAAAUUGUUUUUAAUUUACUACAAGGUAGAAUACGUUGCAGUGUUAAAAAAACACUUUGAACAUCCUAUUUUUGUAUUACAAAUAUACCAAGAUUUAAAUUAUUAUUUUUCUUUAUUAGUAUAAACUAAAUUUUGCCUGAAUUCUCAUCCUUGUAAGUGGAAUUUUAUUGUGAAACUAAUAGUCAUUCCUAGUUGAACUAUCACUUUGAACAUAUGUGUCCUCUCUAAUAACAGCUUCCAAACCUGCAGCUACCUGCUUCUCAGCAUUAGAAGUAGCCAUAAUUAGGAGGAGGGCAAACUUCCAAAUAACAUUCCAAAUGGUAUUGUGAAAAAAUUUCACCCUUUUGGUAAUAAAAAAUAACCUUAUUUCUAACUUUCUAUUAACAAUCUUACCACAAAGUUCUCUCUCAAGUAGAAACAUUAUAUAUAUAUAUUAAUUUUUUGUUAAAAUAAACAAAACCAGUGGCGGAUCUACAGCUGGGCUAGGUCUAGAAAAAAUCAUUUAAACCCCUUGUCUUUUGAUUCAUUUUACAUAAGGAUAGACUUUUUAUUUUAUUUUUAUAUAAGUCCCCAAUUCAGUUACAAUUAUGUUUUUGUCAAAUUUCAUAGAAUAAUAGAGUUUUUACUUUAUUUUCAAAUAUUUCCUUAACUCAAUUAUAUUUUUUUCCCAACUGAAAUUAAUGACUUAUUUUAUAAAAUAAUUAAAUUAUAUAUUUAUUGAAUAGAUUGAAAACAUUAGGGGUUUAAAAUGUUAUUUUUAAUUUGUUUUUAAAAAAUUUAAUUUAACAAAGUAUGUGAAUGUAAUAUAACAUCGUCACUAUUAUUAAAAAUACUAAAAACAUAUAUAAUAAAAAUUAUUCAUAAAUUCAUAAAUUUUUUAUGUAAAUGUUAACAUUUUAUUUAUUAUUUACAUUAACUUAGAGGAUAAGUUAGAAAGUAAAAUUUGAGUAUUUUAAUCUGAUUUUUUAAAGAGAGUCAGAGUGUCUGGCAAAGAAAUAACGGCACGCAAGUACCUUUUUGCUAGGUUAGAGUUUAGUUUAUUAUUGAAACUCUUGACGACUAAUAUUUUUAUAAUUUAAAAAGAUGAAUAGAUUUUAAUUGUUUAAUUUAUUUAAGCUUGGUAACUAAGGUGGCAUUUGUUUUUUAACUUAAUGACUUAAAGUGACUUAACUUAAUUAAUUAAGUUAAUUAGAAGUGUUUGUUUUUAUAACUUAGACUUUUUAGAUAAUUUUGACUUAAUAAAAUAAGUCAAUUUUUUUGGCUUUUUACUUAAUGGAGAAAUUUGAAUUAAGUCAAUUACUUACUAAUGUCAAAAAUAUCCAUGUUUUAUAAUUUAUUUUUCAUAUCUAUCCCAAAACUCACCCAUAGAACAUUUACCCCACAUAAAAAUAUCCUUAUUUUUUAUUUCUUAUAUUAUAUACGAUAAAAUUUGAAAUUUAUGGUAUUUUAUAUAUUGAAAUUCUAAAAUAAUUAUGUAUUCACUUGAAUAUAGUUUUACUUAUAAAUGUUAAAAUAUUGUGGUAUUUAAUAUAUUAUUUAUUUGACAUUCAAAUUUAAUAAGGAUACGAAUGUAAAAGUACAUAUUUUUAGCUUUUUCAGUUGAAAAAAACAAACAACUCAAUACUUAUUUUCCGAGAUUCAAACGAAAAAACAAACAUAUUAUUCAGAUUCAGACAUACAGAUCUAUUCAGAAUUCAGACUAAUUCAGGUCUAUUCAGAUUUCAGACAAAAAAACAAACGCCACCUAAGUAUUUUUCAAACAUAAAGUUGUACUUGCACUUUUUAAAUGAUUAUAAUUACAUUUAUUGACUUAUUCUAAUUUAAAAUUCUUAAUAGAUUUAUUAAUUCUUAUAUAAUUAGAUGUUAUUAUAGGUUGCAAUGUUAGAUUUAAUAAUUAAAAAUAGUAUUUUUAUAUUUGAAUUAUCUUUUGUUUUUUAGUAUUUUUGUACAAUUAUUUUUGUUUAGAGUAUAUAUUCGUAGAGUUUUUCGUGUCCCCAUUAUUUGAUGUACUUCUUUUUACUUAUGAAUAUUUAUGUUCACUUCAAAAUAUAAAAUUUUAAAUUUAGCCCGGGGUAAUAUAAAUUCUUAGGUCCGCCCCUAAGCAAAACUAAAUAUUUAUGACUUAAAAGAUAGGUGUUGAACAGAGGCAGUCUCACAGAAAAAAAAAAAAAAAGUAUUUGAAAGCAGUGGUGAUAUCAUAAUUUUUUGUAUUGAUAUGAGAGUAUCAUACUAGAUUUUUUUCCGCAAUACAAAAAGUUUGUAUUCAAGAAUAAAUAAGCAAUUUCGGGAACAAAUUUUACAAAAAGCCUCGAGGCCAUGUCGUAUGAAUUUGUGAUACCAAAAAUAGUAUACUAGUCAAUAUAUCUUCUUUCCACAUUACAAAAAAUUAGAAAUGCAAUCUAAAUCGAUAUCAAUUAAUAAUUUUAUAGUACACGAAAUCAAGGUAUUUUUUCAUAAUUUAAGAAAUUAUUAGUCAUUUACCCUAAAUUUACUUUGUCUCCAAAAAUACUACGAAAACUUUAACUUGUUUAGUUUUUUACCUUAAUUUAUAAUUUAUAUCAAUCGCUCACUAAAAAGAUAAAAUUAGCUCAUAAAAUGACAAAAUAAAAACAAACACAAAUGACAAUACCAGUAAUUUUAUAAGGAUAAUAAAGUCCUUUUGGCACCAAAUUACGUAUUAAAAUAAUUUAAAUAUUAUAAAUUAUUUUCAGAUUGAGUGAGGAACCCUGGUCAUUUUAACAAUUAUGGUCAUUUAAUCUAUCUAAACAUGAUAUUUCAAGUAGACUUAUGUUUGCGUGGGAGGAUAAUGUAAAAAAAGUGGCACUUUUAUUCAACUGAAUAAAUUUCACAAUUUAAAUUAGAAAAGGAUAAAAUUUAAUAAUUAACUAUUUUUUUAACUAAUUCAAUCGGGAGCCAUUAUUUGUAGGCUGUAGCGGUCCCAAAAGCAUGACAUUAUUGUGAGUAAUGUAUCCUACUUGCAAAAUAAACGGCAGAAUGCGGUUUGGGGACGGAUUAUCGAGGUAUUUGUUAAUAUUCGGAAAUGAGAAGAAAAGGUCAAAUAAAAUUUUAACUUAUUAUUAUUAUUAUUAAAGAUUGUAACUCAGAUGAUUAGACAAAUAAAGGAACUUAAGGCCACUUGGCGGCUUCACUAGGAGCUGUUUGAGUUUAAUUCUAUUGGUAAAAUUCUAUUUUGGUAAUUCUAUUCUUCUUCUUUUCAACCCCAAAUAAUCAAAAGCUCUCCAAUGGCUUUCGUAUCCACAACUCGUCCAUUUCAUUUUACUUCAAUUUCAGUAUCAGCUCUUAGAUGUAAUUUCUCAUCUUCGUUCCCUCAUACCAGAAAACCCACAUCUUCAAUUUCGGAAAAUGAACCCUCAUAUCCGACUACAACAGCUAAACUGAAGGAGUCGCUACGACUGACAGUCAAAGACGGAGCCUCACUCGAAAAAUUUCUUAAAGAAAGGUGCAAAUCAUCAGGUCAAGGUGAUAUUAAUCUUAUUACUCCUAAUGAAGCCUUGUGUAUCUUUGAUUACAUGCUCCGUAUGCACCCUUCUCCGCCUCCUGUCUCUUCCUUCAAUAUUUUGUUUGGUUGUCUUGCUAAGAAUAAACAUUAUGAUACUGUCCUUUCACUCUUCAAGAGACUCAAUUCAAUUGGGUUGUUUCCAGAUCUUUAUACUUAUAGUAUCUUGAUUAACUGCUUUUGCAAAAUGGGUCGAGUUUCUCCUGGUUUUGUUGUUCUUGGGAGAAUCCUCAGGUCUUGUUUUACUCCAAAUGCUGUGACCUUUACUUCUUUGAUUAAAGGUUUGUGUGCGGAGGGUAGAAUCAUGGAGGCCGCUGCAUUGUUUAUGAAACUUAGAGUGUUUGGUUGUGAGCCUAAUGUUUUUACAUACAAUACUUUGAUUAAUGGAUUGUGUCGAACUGGCCAUACAAUUGUUGCUCUAAAUUUAUUUGAAGAGAUGGCUAAUGGAAAUGGGGAAUUUGGUGUUGUUUGUAAGCCAAACACUGUUACAUACACUACUAUUAUCGAUGGUCUUUGUAAGGAAGGUUUUGUGGACAAGGCCAAGGAACUGUUUCUGAAGAUGAAGGAUGAGAAUAUUAACCCCAAUGUGGUUACUUAUAACUCUUUGAUUCACGGUUUUUGUUACGCUAAUGAUUGGAAUGAGGCGAAGUGUUUGUUUAUUGAGAUGAUGGACCAAGGGGUACAGCCGAAUGUUGUGUCUUUUAAUGUGAUCAUGAAUGAGCUUUGUAAAAAUGGGAAGAUGGACGAAGCAAGUAGGCUGUUAGAAUUGAUGAUUCAGAUUGGUGUGCGUCCAAAUGCUUUUGUCUAUAACACAUUAAUGGACGGGUUUUGUUUGACAGGUAGAGUUAAUCGUGCGAAGGAACUAUUUGUUUCUAUGGAGAGUAUGGGUUGCAAACAUAAUGUUUUUAGUUACAGUAUUUUGAUAAAUGGUUACUGCAAGAAUAAGGAAAUAGAGGGAGCGUUAAGCCUUUAUAGCGAAAUGCUCUCUAAAGGUAUUAAGCCAGAUGUUGUUAUAUAUAACACCUUGUUUAUUGGCCUUUUUGAAAUACACCAGGUUGAGCGUGCUUUCAAGCUGUUUGAUGAGAUGCAACGUCAUGGCGUGGCAGCUGAUACCUGGGCGUAUAGAACCUUUAUUGAUGGGCUCUGCAAGAAUGGUUAUAUUGUAGAGGCAGUUGAACUAUUUCGUACUUUGAGAAUUCUCAAGUAUGAACUUGAUAUUCGAGCCUACAACUGCCUCAUUGAUGGAUUAUGUAAAUCCGGCAGACUCAAAAUUGCAUGGGAACUAUUUCGUAGUUUGCCUCGUGGAGUCCUAAUAGCAGAUGUUGUAACAUAUAACAUCAUGAUCCACGCGCU
rnacentral:lncRNA from 1 species